ACGGCCCUAGUUCAAUUUUGCCUUUUACAUAAAGCUGUCCAAAUCCCUUCAGAAAAUCAGCGACCAUAUCUUUAUUCCUCGUACUCCCCUAUAUCAACUCCACCGGCGGAGCCGCCGCCGGUGAAUGUCACCUUCUCCGUUCAUCCCCAAAUUAACGCCACCAACCCUCCUUCCUCUCCCCUCCUCUCCCCGUUCCUACCAUUGUCGUCCCUCGAAACUCACCUGAGCUCCUCGAAUAUUUGUUGGAAGAUUUUCUGACCACGACAUCACCAGUCCCAAAUCCUGCCAAAAGCACAACAUAGGACCGCCUUGUCCUCUUCUAUACAACCCCCAUAGCCUCUUGCCUCGAAUCUGGCCGGAAGUGCUCGAAUACCCAAUUCAAUUUUUCCGGCCACAACCCUAAUGUGACCAAAGGACAUGCAAUUGAUAUCAUAAGGUUCAUGGGCUUCCCUCGCAAGUAAUUGGUCAUCAGUAAAGCUCGAAUGUCAGCAGAGAUGGCCAGAAGUGAAUUUUCGGUUAAUUAGAUUAUUGUUGAAGUUGUUUCAGUAUUAGUGAGUUUCUUUUCUUUGUGUAGUUCUCUUGUUUUGUUGUUAUUAAUUUCCAGUUUAAUGUGUGUUUAUUUGUUGUCAAUUCUCUUCUAAAUUUUGUGUUUAACUAUUUUUUUGUUCAUAUAUUAUUUAUUCUUCCUUAAUUAGGAUAUUAGUCGUCUUUCUAUCUAACUUUCAAUUUUUGUUUUGUUUUGAUUAAUUCGUUGGCAAUAACUCUUUGAUCCAUUAUGUGGUUUUAAUUCAUUCUAAGGUUUAAUCCUGAUUAAUUAGUAUUCGAUGGUAGUUAGUUAUUUUUGGUUAAUACUUAUGUGGGGAUAUUUAACAGACUCUGUUAAUCUAGGUUGGUAAUCUCUUCAGAAAUAAAAGGAAAAUUUCAGGGUAGUUUAGAACAAGGUAGAGGAAACUAGGAAAUUCUAGAAGGGGUUUAAUUGGGAAAUCAGAAAUAGAUAGUACAUAAUAUGAAUUGACUAUGCUUUGAUCACUAGCUCCGUAGGUCCCUAAGAGACUUCUCUCGUCACAAGUCACUAUGGCCAAAGGUUAGAUAGCCUGCUCCCAGGUCAACAUCGAGGUCAGCUCCAUCUCCUCUUUCCUUUGUCUUUGUCUACUGUUCAUCCUUGACAUUCUUUCCGAACUCGUUAGUACCGGAACUCCCGCCAUGAAGGUCACUUAAAGUAACCUACUCGAGCUUCACCCUUUGUAUUGUACCGCCUGGAAAGAGGUUCGCCAGCCCUUUUCUUUCCCUGUUGGGUGGCAAGUUAAUAGUUGGAGGACUGAAUUGAAAAUAACCUAGGGACUAGGGUGCAAAGCCAAAAAUCUAAAAUGCCCUCCUCUUGGCCUAUAUAAAGGGCAUUCUCAUGCCUUAUAAAAGAAGUUUUGGAGCCUCAAAAAAUUUCCCAAAAAGCACUCUCUAGUUCCAGAUCUAGAUUAUAAUUUCAGCAUUCAAAAUUUUUUUUUAAAAAAAAGAGAACAACAAAAGAGAAAAAAAAUCAAAAUUUUUUCACUGCUUCAUUGCUCUACUGUCCACUAGUGUAGUUCUAGUUCCUAUAAAAUCGAAAACAAUCUGGAUUUCUUUGUUCGAGGUUCAACAAGUUUAUUUGAAGGGUGUGUUUGAAGUUUUGGGUUUGAUUUGAAAUCCAAUUGUUUGGUCAAGCUGUGUGUGGGUGAUUGCUGUUUUUUGCUGGGUUUUCAAACGAUUUCUGGGCUGAUUAAGCUGAAGCUGGUUGUGGUUGAUCGCUGCUUAUUGUUGUUUGUGCACUGUUGCCUACUCCUGACUGUUCUCCUUCUUUGUUCUUCAAUUUUUAGGUACAUAUAUGUACAUUUUCGGCUAUUUGAAAUGAAAUGAAGGGCAAAUGGAGGCUUCUAUGUCAUUUUGUGUUUAAUAGCUAACUGAAACCAAGAUGGCUUAGUUAUUCGAUGACUUUGGCUUGUGCUGAAAAUGAAUCUGUCUCCCUGAUAUGAAAUGUUUGAAGAAAAAUGAGCUAUGCUGAUAUGAAAUGAGAAUUAGACAGGAGUAAACUUAGGCUGUGAGUUUGUACUUAUUUGAAUCUUAUUGAAUUGUGAAACUAUAGGUCUAUUUGGUACGUGCGGAAAAAAGCCAAAUAAGAUUGUUUCAGAAGUAGGUGGAUUAUUGUAACUAGAAAAAGGUUACUAAAUUGUUUUAAGUCCAUUUGAAUGGCAUGCUGUGCAUUUGUGCUUUGAGAUGCUUAUGAACUAGUUCUAACAUGCUAUUGGUAAUCACCCGUUCUUUGAAUGAAUUAACUCUAUUAAACUUAACAGUUUUGGUGGAUUGCUGCAUUUGCCAUUUGAAAAUCCAUGCUAGUUGAGGCAAAAGUAAUUUCGGAUUAGUAGAGUUUAGAUCAUUUGAAUGAAUUGAUAGCCAUUUCCUAGUUAGUUUAAUAUGUUUGUUCUUAAUAUGUCACCCCAAAAUAGUGUUUAGUAGCCAUUUCUCUGUUGCUUUGAUUAAAUCUUGUUGGGAUUCGAUUCAUGAGAAUGUGAUGUGAGAGGUGGCCCAGUGCUUGGCAUCGAGGCCCAAGGCCUUUGCAUUCUGAGACAAAGAUAAAUCAACAAGGUCAUGAUUUGUCCUUAUCGGGAUUCGAUCCCGGGUGGAGAGGCCUUUGCUAUUUGAGCCUCCUCUUAUUCAUGCCAGGCUUUAUCGAAUGGGCCAUUUCUGAAGCCCAUUAUGUGGUUAACUUGUUGUUUGAGUUUGGAUCACUGAGUUCAGUUCAUAGUUCAAUUCGCUGGUAAUUAGUUUUUCCUCUUGUAGAGAUAAUCAAUCAAUAGCGAAUCAUAGACAGUCUUAAGUAAGCCUUUUAAUAAAUGUUGAGAUGAGCCUCGCCAAACAAAACAUAAAUGUGGGGCCAUCAAUAGUGGUUCUAUAAAAUAAUUAGAAUUUAGGAAGCCUGAUUAGUGAAUUUCACGGCCUUACCCAAAAUAACAAUACGAUAGUUACUUUAGGCGCGUGUUUAAUAAUAUUACUUUCCUAAAUUCGAGUGCGCAUCAAAGAUAAAUUAACAAGGUCAGGCUUUGUCCUUAUCGCGGAUUCGAUCCCAGGUGGAGAGGCCUUUGCUAUUUGAGCCUCCUCUUAUUUAUGCCUGGCUUUAUCGAAUGGGCCAUUUCUGAAUCCCAUCAGUGGUUAACUUGUUGUUUGAGUUUGGAUCACUGAGUUUAGUUCGUAGUUCAAUUCGCUGGUAAUUAGUUUUUCCUCUUGUAGAGAUAAUCGACCAAUAGCGAAUCGUAGACAGUCUUAAGUGAGCCUUUUAAUAAAUGUUGAGAUGAGCCUCGCCAAACAAAACAUAAAUGCAGGUCCCUCAAUAGUGGUUCUAUAAAAUAAUUAGAAUUUGGGAAGGCCGAUUGGUGAAUUUCAUGGCCUUCCCCAAAAUAACAAUACGCUAGUUGCUUUAGGUGCGUGUUUAAUAAUAUUACUUUCCUAAAUUCGGGUGAGCAUUAGUGCGACCCAAAUCCAAAUCUUGAUGAAGUGGAAAUAUGUUGACAAUCGCGGGCGCAUUGAUUGCGACGGGGUACGAAACUCAUUUUUACGUCAUCGUAAUUCUUAUAAAAUAAAUAAUGAUAGAAAAGAUAUUCGCGAAUUGAGACGAGCCUCACCUAAUAAAAUAAAUGCGGGGCCCUUAAUAAAUGGUUACUAAAAAUGAUUAGUAUUUGGAGGGCUGUUUAGCGAAUUUCAACGGCCUUUCCCAAUAUAAUAUUACGUUAGAACCUUUAGGCACGAUUUAAUUAAUUUACUUCCUUAAGCUCGGGUGCGCAUUGAUGCGAUCUAAAUCCAAAUCUCGACGAAGUCAAAAUAUGUUGACAACCACGGGUGCAUUGAUUGCGACGUGGUUCGAAACAUGUUUUCACGACGUUGCAAUUCUUUUAAAAUAAACAAAGAUAAAAGCGGUUUACGAAUAAAAAGCACAUAAGCUAGCAUGUAUUAAAAUCAAAUAAAAUCAAAUGCAACAGCUAAGCGACCGUGCUAGAACCACAGAACCCGGGAAUGCCAAACACCUUCUGUUGGGUUAACAGAAUUCCUUACUCGGGUUUCUGGUUCGCAAACUGUAAAAAAUUCAUAUUUUUCCCCGGUUGGGGAUUCAAUUUGUGACUUGCGAUACCAUUAAUCGCUCAAGUGGUGACUAUGAAUCUUGAUAAAUAAAUCUCGUUCGGAUUGUCCUUUAAUUGAAAAACUCCUUUACGCCCUGCGGGCUAUAUAGUGAAUAAGAAGGUGUGACAGCUCUGGCGACUCUACUGGGGAGUAAGAACCCAGAACGUUUUGUUUAGGGUUCAGAAUUCGAGCUUAGAUAAAUUGUUGUAUUUGGAUAUAUCUGAUUUUUCUACAUGUUUCAUGGUUAAUGUGCUAAAUGUUACCGCUUUGAUAUUAUCUGAACUGUAUAUAAACUAUGCAUACACCUUUCUCUCUUCACCUCCGGGGAUGUGCUUACUGGUUGAGACUCCCUAUCUUGUUAGUGUCAUACCCUGAAAUAAGAAAAAGGCUCGGACAAGUUACUAAGCCGGAUGGCCUUUUGGUUCCAGAAAAGUUUCCCCCUCCUCGACUCGAGUUGUCCGCUCGGGUACACAGUCUAGAACACUGACCCAAGUUUUGAACAUAGAAUAACGUGACUUCAGGCUGGAUCCCUAGUAAGAAUGCUUAUUUGCCUCACAUUGCAUUUGACUUAGGGGACUCAACACAGGGGUUGGGUCCGUCAAGGACUAGCAACCUGAAAUGAAAAGACAAUCCUGAUGCAUCCUAUUUGUUUUCCGUGCAUUUAUUUGUCUCGGGCCCGCAUGCUGACCGAUUUUUGAAUAUCGGGAAUAUUGUGAAAUUGAGGAAAAGAAAAAAAAGAGAGAAAUAGUGGUUAGGGAGUUAAUUGAUUAUUUUGGAAAAAGCCCAAUGCCCAAAUGAUGUUGAAACUCUGCCGAAAUUUUGAGAAAAUAAAAAAAAAUUUAUUAGUUUGUUUUACUAAAAAGCAAAGGAAUAAUAGAAAAAAAAGAGUCGUUAUUUUGUCUUGUUUUCAAAAAUAGAAUAGGAAAAUAGUUUGUAUUGCCAUGAAAAAUGAAAAAUCAAAUGAAUCUUGUUUUUAAAAAAAUAAUUUUUUUUAUGAAAUGCCAAAAAUAAAAAUGAAAAAGGUCUUUUUUUAAAUUAGUUUUCUUUACGAAAUGCCCAAAAAUAGAAAUAAAAAGAGUCAUUUUUAGAAUAGUUCAGCUAAUUUACUCGAACUACGCAGGUUUGAUUCUCACCGGAUGUGAGAUACGUAAACAACCCUAAUCGGGUCCAACCUCCCCCUUUGCAAAAAUAGCGAAAAAUGCAAAAACUUUAAUUUUUGUCAUAAAUAAGUUGAGGUGAUGCCGUUUUUAUCAAUAAUAGCUAAAUGUUCCUUAAAGGGACACCGGAAGGCUGACUUUGCAUAAAUAGCCACCUUGGUUAAUUUUUAAUUUUGGCCAGUCGAGCCAACGCAGCCUUAAAAUCUUCAUCCCCGAGGUGCUGAAAGGCCGUGUUUGCAAACUCAGGUCUUUUAUUUUAAUUUGAAACCGAAGAAAGAGUCAUUGUUCAAGUGAACACCGUUUGGAUUUUGGUCAAAAUAAGCGGAUCCAGCUUCGGCGGUGUCUUGAAUCGUUCUUACCGAGAUAGCCCUGGAGUAUCUUUCAGUUGUCGAAAGGCUAUUUUCGUGAAGAACAGAUAAGUUUGUGAAGUGUCAUAAAAUAAUCCUCCCCAGACUCAAAAUUCAUGAGAAAUUGAGAAGGGUCCACAUUUGCAAAAAUAGCCAUUUGGUUAAAAUUGGCAUAUGGAGAAAGAAUUUGUCAGUUUGUUUUCUCUUGUGAUUAGAGUAUGUGGGUUGUUGAAUGUUCGAGUCUGUAUCUCGUCUUUUCAGAGUCUGCUAGUUUUGUUUAAAGUUUUCCAGUUUUUGAAUCAUUAAUCAAAGUUUGUUUUGUUAUGAAAAAUUGAAAAGUCCCAAAAUAUCUUUUAUUGUUCAUUUACCUUUUAUCUUCACGAACUACGCUUGGUCUGAUUCGUGCGGGGUCAUGAUACAUAGGCAAUCUCCAUAGUAUUUGACCGUAAUCGUAAAGGGGAAAAGGAAAAGAAAAAAAAGAAACAAAGAAGGAGGGAAAAGAAAGAAAGAGCAGAAAAACAAGGAAAAAAGAGGAAUGAAAAUAAGAAAAGAGAGAAAAAUAUAUAAAGAGCGAAAAAACAAAGAAAGUAUAGAAUAAGAAAGCGAAAGAGAAAGAAAGAGAGAGAAAAGAAAAAAUGAAAUGAAAGUUGUGAUGGAAAAUAAUGAAAGGUCGGGACGACGCAUGCAGUCGAGCAAGUGCAUAGUAGAGAUGGUUAACUGUAUAAGUGAAUUCGUUGCUAACGUGCGGUUAUUCAAUCUGUUAAAGCCUAAUCACUAACCAAGUUGUUGUCCAAAAGUGUGAGUACAGACAGGUGGUUAGUUGAUCCGGCAUUCUGGAAACCCAUCUGUACAACACCCGGGUCAAAAUAUAAAGUAGACAUGACAGGAAGGAUGCAGACAUCAGUAUUGUGGACCUUACAAAUGAAGCUGAGGUAACAGAUGUGGGUGCUAUGAAAGAAGAGAUGCGGAAAUUGAAAGCGCAAAUGGCCGAAAUGCAUCGGGCUUGGUCUCAAGGGCAUCCGACACCAUCAUACCCCGCCAACCCACCUUACAUCCCAUUUCUGGCUCAGGCUCCAGAGCCCAACACUCCCCACGCAUCUUCAGCUUUCCCUCAUCCCACCCAGGGCUAUGGUACCACGUCAUAUGCUCCUCCAGCUCCACCACCCUAACAGAAUCCUCCCCCACCCAUGGUCUUUGUGGCACCUCCAACAGCCACAUUACAUAGAUCGUCCAGUGAGCCGCUAUUCCAAGCACAUGACACCCAAUACUACCCUCCCGAACCCACUUUUAGAGCUCCUGAGCCAUAGACAUACACACCCCACCUUGAAACCCCGAGAGAAGUUGAGAAACCGGUUAGGAAUUUGGAAUAGAAGGAAGUGAUUCGUAAAGUCAAAAGCCUGGAGCAAUCCUUCAGGAACAUGCAUGGUUUAAGCAGCCAAGUCAGCGUUGCUUACAAAGAUUUGUGCCCUUUUCCUAAUGUCCAGUUGCCCGCAGGGUUCAAAAUUCCCAAGUUUGAUUUGUAUGAGGGACAUGGCGACCCGGUGGCCCACCUUCAAGGUUUCUGCAGUAAAAUGAGAGGAGCUGGGGGAAAAGAAGAAUUUUUGAUAGCCUAUUUCGAUCAAAGUCUGAGCGGGUCUGCUUUGGAGUGGUAUGCACAACAGGACCCUGGCCGUUGGUACACAUGGGAUGAUUUGUUACAAGCAUUCAUUGGCCAUUUUCAGUACAACCUUGAGAUAAUACCCGAUCGUCUGUCGCUGUUGAAGUUGGAGAAGAAGCCCGGGGAAAGUUUUAGAGAAUUUGGGUUCCGAUUGAGAGAACAAGCAGCAAGAGUCGAUCCUCCGAUAAGAUAAAGUGAGAUGGUAGAUUACUUCUUGCAAACAUUGGAGCCUACCUAUUUCGGUCAUCUAGUGACGUUUGUCGGAAAAUCAUUUAAUGAAGUGGUAAAGAUGGGAGCCAUGAUUGAAGAUGGAUUGAAGUUAGCAAAAUCUUGAGCUAUUCGGCAUUGAAGGCAACCACCCAGGCCAUCCAAAGCGGUACUAGUGGUGUGCUCGGAAACAACAAGAAGGAAUAAGUCGCUACAGUUGAAGCUAGUACUUGGUCCAGGUCCAACAAUACCCCACCCUACUACAACCAACCCAGACCUCACCAUCCAAAUUAUCCAUAUACCCCAUACGGCCUACCACAACAUUACUAUCCAACACCAGAACCACACUUUUUUGUCCACCACACUCAGACAUACACUCAGCCUCUGGCGCACCCGCAAUGGCGUGCACCGGCUCUCCAAAAUACAUAUCCACCUCCACAAAACACCUAUCCACCUCCCAUGGCUAAUAGACCAAGAACCGUCUUUCACCCAAACCAAUAUUUCAGAAGUGAAAAGGCCCCGAAAUAGAAAUUAUUUACUCCGCUGGGAGAAUCUUACACCUCUCUUUUCCACAGAUUGAAACAGUUGGGAAUGUUGACCCAAAUUGAGCCCAAAGUACCAAAUCCCCCUCCCAGAAACCUGGACCAUUCUGUUAGCUGUGAGUAUUGCUCAGGGAUGUCGGGGCAUGAUACUGAGAAGUGCUAGAAAUUGAAACGCAGUUCAAGAACUUAUUCAUAAUUGCCGUAUUGAGGUACAGGCUCUGGAGGCGCCAAACAUUAAUCAAAACCCGUUGCCUGCGCAUCACUAGACUAACAUGAUUGAACUGAUACAUAAGGGAGCCAUCAUGCCCCAAAUCCGAGGGGCAUGACCGGCACUCAACCGGGUAUCCCCAGUCGAGUAGACCUGGGUGCCUCUCCUAUUUCCUACGCGUUACCCCUCAUUAUUCAAUGAUAAUUAACCAAAAGAUACCAAAUUUUCAAUUGAAAGAACACAUGAUUUCUCUUUUAUAAACACACAUUAUGAUUAACAGGGAACAUCUUUUACUUUGAUACCAAGUUUGUCACGCCCCAUAUUCGAGGGCAUGACCGGAACUCAACAGGGUAUCCCCAGUCGAGUGGACCUGGGUGCCUCUCCUAUUUCCCACGCGCUGCCCCUCAUUAUUCAAUGAUAAUUAACCAAAAGAUACAAAAUUUGCAAUUGAAAGAACACAUGAUUUCUCUUUUAUAAACACAUAUUAUGAUUAAUAGGAAACAUCUUUUACAAAACAUACAUUAUGAUUAACACGGAACAUGGUAUACAAGUUUACAACGCCCAAACCAUACACCUCUAUACAUAAGUUCUAACCCAUAUACCACUGUCUACGGAGCAUCUAAGAGAAAUAUAAUACCACACUUAACGGCGACAAGGCCCCGGCUAUACCUUUACAAAAGGAAACAAGACUCCAAAAAUACAACAUGGGUGGCAUGAGCCACACAAGGCCCCAGAAAGAAAGGGGCUAACCAACACGAAUACCGCCGAUAGAGAGGAGGAGGAGCUACGAACGGUAGACUGGAGUGCUUGCCACGGAUCCACCUACAAUUAUUACACGAAUGUAGCGCCCCCGACAAAAGGGACGUCAGUACAUUUGAAUUGUACUGGAAUGUAUGAAAAAACUCUGUCCCAAGUAAACUCAAGCCAAAUUUCAUAUACAAGUAUAGAACUGAACAACAAUAGUACAAGUACAACCAUGGAUCAACAACCAAACAUUUCACAACGAAUGAUUACAAGUAUAGAACUGAACAACAAUAGUACAAGUACAACCAUGGAGCAACAACCAAACAUGUCACAACAAAUGAUUCAAGUAGUCAAACAAAGGGGCAAUCCGUGCCCCACAUGUUACAAACUCUCCUGGUGUCUCCUUUCACAAUUCCACAUUUAUCAUUUCGUGAUUCAUAUUCAUAUCAAUAGUGAUAUUGGAUCACAUUUUCCACCCUUAUUGCCGCGUCCACCCUUAUUACCUCGGAAACCCUUAUCACCCCAACCCACACUUAUUUCACCAUGUUGUGGCGCGCAACCCGACCCCGCUUGACAGUUUUCAGUUCACAAAAACAAACAGAAUAACAACAAAUACAAGGAAUCAACUAUGGAACAACCUCGUCUACCCUUAUUACCUCGGCCAUCCUUAUCACCCCAAACCACACCGUAUCUCACCGUGUUGGGACGUGCAACCCGACCCCGCCUGACAGUUUUCAAUUCACAACAACAAACUGCAUAACAACAAAUACAAGAAAUCAACUAUGGCACAUUGUUAAAAUAGAUCCACAACAAGGGUAAUGAAAUCCCACAACUAGCAACAAUAAUUUCCUCAUGUUCAUCAAAUUGGUACACAAUUUGGAUUAUCACAACAGUNNNNNNNNNNNNNNNNNNNNNNNNNNNNNNNNNNNNNNNNNNNNNNNNNNNNNNNNNNNNNUACACAAUUUGGAUUAUCACAACAGUUGUUCACAACUAAUCACACACGUUGUUCCACAUUAUUUCCAUUUCCACUGUUCCACAUUAUUUCCAUUUCCAGUGUUUCACAUUAUUUCCAUCUCCAUUAUUCCACAUUAUUUCCAUUUCCAAACUCUUCCAAAUUACAAGUUCCACAACUUUAACCACAAAGUGUUACCACACAAUUAUACAACACAAAAGCUUCACAAUGAUUCCCACAAGAAUAUCAACUAUCAAUAAUUUCACGACUAACACAGGGCAAUUUCACAAAGAUCACAGUUAGCCAUACAUACCUGGAGUUGAUUAUUCCCUUUUAAACCUCUAGUCCAAUUCGCCAAGCAAUAAAAGAGUCAAUCUAGUUCAUGAUCAACACUUAGGUUUUUAGAAAUUUAAACUCAUAGUUACUACCCAAUUCCCUUUUUACAAGAUUUUUGAGUUUUGAAUACAUGCACAAAGAUUUUACCCCUUCUAGCUGGAGGUCUCCCCUCCUCACUAGAAUCCUCCCACAUCUCAAACCACAAACGCACAACUCUAUUCAACCUGUAUGAAGCCAAUUCUACCCUUUCUAUCUCUGUAGCCUUCAUCACUCGAAGGGUCUUGUACAUCUCAUCAAUGAAUUCUUGCGGAUCGGCCUCUGGGUAUGUGCCUGAGAACUUUGGAGGUGACAAUUUCAUACACUGGUAAACUCUGGAGCUGGAGGAAUCUCCCUAUCCGCUGGAGGACAUAGGGGUAUCAUGAGAUCUCUGGGCCUGGGCGGCCACUAACUAGGUCAACAUGCGGAUGGAUCCCCUAAGGUCUCCAUAGAUGACACAAGGGCAUCAUGAGAUCUCUGGGCCUGGGCCGCCACUAACUGGAUCAACAUAAGAAUAUCUCCCAUAAGGUCUCCAUCAAAAAUCCCGGGAUUGGAAGCUGGAGCAACAUCAGGAUUAGGAGAAUUAACAGAAGGGAUAGUAGCACCCUCGGCCGCUGCUGGAACAUGAUUUCUUGGAUCAGGAACAGAUGGAGCAGGCAAAUUCAGAACUGGGGAAUCACUCUCACCCAUGCCAGUCAGCACAUAAUCCACAGCCGCACUGGAAGUAGCGUUGGCCCCUAGGCCGAGUCUAGCUUUCUUCUUGGGUGCCAUUACUGAAAAUUCGAAAUAAAGCACGAAUUAGACACAACAUCACUUCACCGCAGGAACUUGGAAUAACAAAGAAGAGGAUCAUUAUUCCUAAAUGCACGUGUAGCCCCCAACUUAUAGAUGUGGUCGACAAUACACAGAUAAGAAGGGCACUACUAGGCACUGCUCCGAGACAUCCUAGGACUCCUUUAAUACCUUAGGCUCUGAUACCAAACCGUGUGGCCCCCAACUUAUAGAUGUGGUUGACAACUCACCGAUAAGAAGGGCUCUACUAGGCAUGGCUCCCAGACAUCCUAGGACUCCUUUACAACCUUAAGCUCUGAUACCAAGUUUGUCACGCCCCAAAUUCGAGAUGCAUGACCGGCACUCAACCGCGUAUCCCCAGUCGAGUGGACCUGGGUGCCUCUCCUAUUCCCACGCGUUAUUCAAUGAUAAUUAACCAAAAGAUACCAAAUUUGCAAUUGAAAGAACACAUGAUUUCUCUUUUAUAAACACACAUUAUGAUUAACAGGGAACGUCUUUUACAAAACAUACAUUAUGAUUAACAGGGAACGUGGUAUACAAGUUUGCAGUGCCCAAACCAUACACCUCUAUACAUAACUAACCCAUAUACCACUGUCUAUGGAGCCUCUAAGAUAAAGAUAAUACCACACUUGCCGGCGAAGGCCCCGGCUAUUCCUUUACAAAAGGACAAAAGACUUCGAAAUACAACAACAUGGGUGGCAUGAGCCACACAAGGCCCCAGAAGUAAAGGGGCUCACCAACAUGAAUUCUGCCGAUAGAGAGGAGGAGGAGCUACGAACGAUGGACUGGAGUGCCUGCCACGGAUCCACCUACAAUCAUAACAUAAAUGUACCGCCCUCGGCAAAAGGGACGUCAGUACAUUUGAAUUGUACUGGCAUAUAUGACAAACUCUGUCCCAAGUAAACUCAAGCCAAGUUUCAUAUACAAGUAUAAAACUGAACAACAAUAGUACAAGUACAGCCAUGGAGCAACAACCAAACAUGUAACAACAGAUGAUUCAAGUAGUCAAACAAAGGGGCAAUCAGUGCCCCACAGGUUACAAACUCUCCAGCUGUCUCCUUUCACAAUUCCUUUAUCAUUUCAUGAUUCAUAUUCUAUCAAUAGUGAUAUUGGAUCACAUUUUCCACCCUUAUUGCCUCGUCCACCCUUAUUGCCUCGGCCACCUUAUCACCCCAACCCACACCUUAUCUCACCGUGUCGUAGCGCGCAACCCGACCCCGCCUGACAGUUUUCAAUUCACAACAAACAGCACAACAACAAAUACAAUAAAUCAACUAUGAUACAUUGUUAAAAUAGAUCCACAACAAGGAUAAUGAAAUCCCACAACUAGCAACAACAAUUUCCUCAUGUUCAUCAAAUUGGUACACAAUUUGGAUUAUCACAAUAGUUGUUCACAACUAACCACACACGUUGUUCCACAUUAUUUCCAUUUCCAUUGUUCAACAUUAGUUCCAUUUCCAUUGUUCCACAUUAUUUCCAUUUUCAUUGUUCCACAUUAUUUUCAUUUCCAAACUCUUCCAAAUUACAAGUUCCACAACUUUCACCACAAAGUGUUACCACACAAUUAUACAACAUAAAAGCUUCACAAUGAUUCCCACAAGAAUAUCAACUAUAAACAAUUUCACGACUAACACAUUGCGAUUUCAUAAGAAUCACAGUUAGCCAUACAUACCUGGAGUUGAUUAUUCCCUUUUAAACCUCUAGUCCAAUUCGCCAAGCAACCAAGAAGUCAAUCUAGUUCAUGAGCAACACUUCGGUUUUUAGAAAUUUAAACUCAUAGUUACUACCCAAUUCCCUUUUUACAAGAUUUUAGAGUUUUGAAGACAUAUGUCGACGCCCCCUUUUUUCUUAAAAGAAAGUGAAAUCGGGUUUUACGACAUUAUGGGAAAACAACUCUAUUUCCUAUUUGGGAAUUGGGCUAUGGAAUUGGAAGAGUAGCCACCUAAUGAUUAUAGUGCAUUAGUACACUUAAGAGAGAUUAUUUUGAAAAGAAAACCAGAGUUCGGGUAAAGGUUUGACAUUAUUUCGAGGGGAAGGUGUUAGGCACCCCUCAAGAUCCACUAGUGCGGUUCCCGACCUUAUCAAUUGUGACUUUAUGAAAGAUGAAGUGAUUAACCAAGUAAGGCUUACAAAUAGAACAUUCAUAUAACUUGAGACCCCGUCCAUAUUAAUCGUGACUUUACAAAAGAUAAAACAAAUUAAACAAAUAAGGUUCACACAUGUAACAUUCGCACAACUUUUAAAGAUUAAAAGAAGAAAGAAAGACGCAAAUUUAAAAUAAAAGAGAAUUGAUUUGAAAAAGCAUUACUAUAUGAAAGCAUUUAAAUAAAGUAAAUAAGAGGAAGGAGGAUCCUAGGUUUGACUACAAUAUGGAUCAUUCGAUGCAAUAUCCCGCACAUAUUCCCNNNNNNNNNNNNNNNNNNNNNNNNNNNNNNNNNNNNNNNNNNNNNNNNNNNNNNNNNNNNNNNNNNNNNNNNNNNNNNNNNNNNNNNNNNNNNNNNNNNNNNNNNNNNNNNNNCUUUUUGAUAUUAUCGCAUCGUCAUCAUCUCCAUAUUCUACCCUUCCCACCCUUUAGAGGUUAUUUAAGUGUGUGAAUCGGUCACGAAUGCUUAUUGCGUGCUAUUACCCGUCUCGUUCUUUAGAUCCUAGAGGGCACUUAGGAUCGCUAUUCCUAUAAGGUAGGAACUAGGUAGAACCCUUAAGUUUAAAGGUUAAAAUACUAGGCGACAUUCAAAAACAAAUAGGACUUGCAUGUAAGGGAAUCAUAUAGAUCAUAUAAAAGGCUCAAAUAACCCUCUAUAAGAGAACACGUAAGUAGCACGCCUCAAACACAUGUAAGGUCUAAGGAAAAGAGAGUUUUAAAAGCUGGAGUGUUGACAAAUAUAUUUAAGACAACAGUUGAAACAAUUUUUGAAAAACCAAAUUUGCAUAAAAGGUUGGAUGAAAACAUUUGGGACUUGAGAAAGGAAAAUGGGUGUGUGACAGUUUAGAAAUUAGAAGGAAAACCUUUUAAACACACUUGAAAAUACAUAACACGUAUGAUAAACCAGUUUUCGGAUAGGAUAGGUAAAAACAGAUGUAAAAUUAUUCGGAAAUGUUAAGGAACGUGUAAGUAUAUUAUUUUUUAAAGUUUCAGAAGAAACAGUAUUCAGACAAGUUUUAUAAAAUAGUAAUCCAGUUUUGGACUAGGAAGAAGAGUAAUUUAGUAAAAUAUUUGCACAGAAGGGAUUGAAAUAAGGCACAAUUUUAGUGUAAAAAUCAGCGGACCUUAGAGAGGCAAACAAAAUCAGACGGUUUAAAUAGCCUAAGCAGGAUUUACGGCGAUUAAUCAAUUUUAUUUAACCCAAGGUUUGCCUAGGCAUUUCUUAACCAUAUGAGAAAGGUGGACAUACACGUCAUUUUUAUAAAGGAACGGGUUAACCAGUUUUACGUCUAUUUAACAAAAUUAGUGAGGCGUUCAACAGUGGUAAAAAAAGAAGACCCUAAGUAUAUGAUAUCUAAUGCAUAUAAAGGCCCUAAAACAUGGUAUCUAAAUGCAAGGCAGUAAUUUGAUUAUUAACUAAUUGUGAUUAUAAAAAUAACAAGCUAAAAGUAAAAGACCUAAGAACAAGAUUUCUAUGUGUGAGAUGCAUGUCCUAUACAUGGUUUCUAUUAUGCAAAUAGGUAAGUAAAGUCCUAUAAACAUGUUCUCUACCCAUUCCCUUAAUAAUCAUGCAUAUCCCUUCCCAAUUUCACUAUAAUCCCAAUUUUUCUUUACAAAUUAUUACAGACCAAGUAAUUUAAAAAAUACAGCAGUGAAAGAAAAGAAGAAUCUAUUCAAUAAGGAGCAUACAGCCAGGCCCAAGCAUCUCCAACCUCACUCCUUUCGAGUUUCACAGCCAUUACCAAUGCUUGGGUGCGGCAAAGUUCCCUAAGGGUUCGUUUGAACCCCUGGUCAAUACCAAGCACCCAAAAAUUUCCCAAUUAGACAAGUAAAAGCAUGGAAGUACCAGCCUUGUACAUCAGAGUUCCAUGGUUGCUCAAGGCUCCCAUGGCAGUGCUUGCACUAAGAGAAAGACCCUAAAGCUCUAAGAAUGAGAUUGUAAUUGAAAGAAUUGAAAACAGUUUAAGAAAACAGUUGAAAGAAUUGAGAGAGUAAAAAAGAGGGUUGAAAAAGUUAAGGCAGUUUAAUAGUUGAAAGAGUUGAAAAAGUUCUUUUGAAAUUAUUUUAGACUGACCAGUUUUAAAACAGCAGGCAUCACACAAAUAGGGGAGCAAAGGGGAAAGGGGGAUAAACAAGUAAAGUGAACUACAGACAUACAGACAACAUGUUGGAGGAAAAUAAUCAGACAUGAUUUUAAGCCAAGGGUUCAAUUUACUGCACCAAAUUCUAAUACACUUAGCUUCAAACAGAGAUUUUAGGUUAAACAAGUAGCCAAGCAAACAUGGAUGCAUGGUAGUAGCACACAGGGAAGGGUAUACAUUAAUUGAGACAAGGGAGGGGAUACGGGAGAAAAUAAGUAAAGUGUACAGUCAACAUAUUUGAGGAAAAUAAUCAAGCAUGGUUGUAAAACAAUGAUUGAAUUCUUACUGCACCAAAUCCCAAAUAUUAUCAACCUCAGGGAGAGGUUUCAGGACUAAGUAGCCAAACAGUAGUGCACAUGGAAGAAGAACAUGCAUUGAGACAGGGAAAGGGGAAUAGGGGAAAACAUGCUAAGUUAGACUACUAGACUAACAACUACAAGCUAGUGGCAAUAAUAGCAACUGAACCAUAGGUAAAAACACACAAGAAACCAUAUGAAUUGCAAAACUAAAAGGACCAUGUUGUUUUGGAGGCUAUAUCUUAAAUAGGUGACAUACCAGUUGAAAGUAAUAAGACGCAAUAGCAAUGCAAUAGUGCACAAAGGGAGAGCAAAGUGUGCAAUUGUAUAUUAAAUAGGUGACAUACCAGUUGCAGGUAAUAAGAUACAAUAGCAAUGCAAUAGUGCACAAAGGAAGAGCAAGGUGUGCAAAGAAUGAGAGCAGCAGUGUGGAUACAAUAACAAUGCAAUAGUGCCCAAAGGGAGAGCAAAGUAUGUAAAAACUGAGAGCAGCAGUGUGAGUAACAACAGUAGGAGAAUAAAAUCAGCAAUAUGAGAAUAGCAGCAACAACAGACCCAAUGGAGACAAAUAAAUAGAACCCAAUAGUGUAAAGUAAUCAACCCAAGUUACUCAAUCCUUGAUGUUAGACGAUUGAGUGUUCAAAGAAGAGAAUGAGAGAGUAUAGAAAUAGCAUAGAAAGAGAGAAUUCAGAGAGUUUUAGAUUGUGAGAGCAGUGUGUGUUCGUUUUUUCAAAGAGAAAGGGGGGAGUAUUUAUAGUACUGAAAACGAGUAAACAAACAAGGUAUCAAUCCAUAUUUAAGGAACUGAUAUCAAUCAAAAUUAAAUAAGUAUAGGGACUCCCCUUUAAUUAAGGAAUCAUAGUUAAACGGUACUCAGCAGUCAUUUUGAAAAGGUAAGGAAUUACAAGGUAUGGCCUGGCCACAUAAAGAAACAAAAAUAGUUAAGGUAUACAUUGCAGGCUAGGUGCAUGAUACUUAACAAGGGAAAUAUGUCAAGCAAGUAAAUCAGCAUAUUUGUGCACACAUAUAAGGAAAAUACCACUUAAAUACUGGGAAACAAUUUUUGAAAUCGAAAACUUGGGGGUUCAGUUAUCUAAUUGGGGAAUGUAUCCCACUGAUUGAGGAAGAAAAUUCAAAAUCAAUACCAAAACUGUAAGGAAAAUACAAAAAUCACAAUUUAAGGCUAGUAAUCACAGUCUUAAAGAGAGCUUUUAAGAAUCAGUAUAAAAUCACCAUGUAAACAGCCAGAAAUCACAGUCUUAAAGAGAGCUUUUUUGAAUCAGUAAAAAAUCACCAUGUAAACAACCAGAAAAAACCUUAAGAGAAGAACAACGACAUGGUAUGGGUAUGAAACACUAGUAAAAAAAGAUCAAAGUAAAGAGCACGGAGAUCAUAGAAGAAACCAGAAGAAACAUGCAAAUAGGCAGAUACAGAUACAAACAUGUAGGGUUACGGUUCUUAUCAGCUUUUAAUAGAAGGCUUAGAAGUAGUACUGAGAGUUACGGAUUAGUGCAAAAAAUCAUAAAAGUAAAGUAUUUUCGAAAGGGGUUACAAACCCUAGCAAUAGAAAUCUCAGUAUGAAACCCAGGUUAACAAGGAAAAAAACAAACAAGUAAAAUAAACAAACACAAACGAAUAUAUAGCACUCAGAAGAGUAGAAGAAACGAUGUUGAAGAAGGUGUGAAAAACCCUAAUUUGAAAGAAAAAAUGGUCAUCAUCCGAAAAUUUUUGAAAUAACCCGAAAUGCUAAGUAAAAAUAGAGUAGAAAACAAAAAUAAGACUAAGAGUUGUUUUAAAAGAGUAGAGAUUAAAGAGGAAAAUUAGGGUUUUCAAACAAAUUAGGGAAAACGAAGAACCUGGCUGUGAAACUCGUAUACAAUGCCAUAGAAGGCAUCAUCGUACAAAGACCACCGGAGAAAAGGCGGAAAAUAGACCCAAGUAGAGCUUCAAUGACCGUCUUUCAUGGCGGAAGCUGCUAGGCUUCAAUCUUGAGAUAAGAAACCACGAUAUAAGGACUCCAUGACUGCCGAAAGUCGAGAGAAGUGAGGGAGGAGUGAGCCGGAGAGGCGAUGAUUUCAUCAGAGAUGAAGGAGGGAACCAGAAGGUUCUAGAGAGACGAAGGGUUGGAGAGAAUUUUGGAAGUGAAAGGGGGUACAAGGGCGGCGGAUUUAGAAAAUGAAUUAGGGUAAAGGGGGGUAUUGGGUUUAAUUAUGGUAAGGUUAAUUGUGGACCGUUGAUCAAAAUGAUCAACGGGCACGAUUUAAAACGGGGAUCCAGGUGGGUUGAUCCAAAUAGGUUUGAGUCGGGAGAUUUUGUAAUUGGGUCAUGAUUUGGGGGUUGAAUUUGGGCUUAAAAUGUGGCCAAAUUUGAAAGAUUAAAGGGCUAUAAAUUAAACGCCCACUUUUCCCUAAUUAAUUUAUAAAAUAUAGUAAAUAAUUUUAUAAAAAUACAAUAAAAAUACUGAGAUAAAAUGAUACGUUUUGGGAUUAAUUAAAAAUAUUAGGGAUGAUUGUGUACUUGAAAUACAUAUUAAAUUGAGAAAUAGGCUAAAGUUGCAAUUUAAUGCAAUUUUAGUUUAAAAAUAUCUAAUGGCUUUGCAAAAAUUCUGCAAAAAUUACAUAAGUUAUAUUUUUAUGUAGAUGAGAGAGUAAAAUAAAUUAUUUAUUAAAAUAACAAGGUUUGAUACUAAAUAUUGGAUUUUCUAGUACAAAAUAAGUUGUAAAUUGGUUUUAAAAAUACUAGAAAAAUUAUAGAAAAUACCAAACCUUUCGUGGAUGCUUAUUUAUACAUUCAAAAUCUAUUUUGAAAUUAAUUUGGGUACAAAGAUCCAAUGGAAAAAUUGGGUAUCAACAGCUGCCCCUCUUUACCAGAGGAGGAUGAAAGAGUUGUCGGGUAAAGAUAGGAUGGCCAAUUUUGACCGGAAAUGACGAUUGUAAGAGAAGUUCGAUCGUGCUCUGGCUUCUGAGCUGCCUACAUAUCCCUGGUUUUACAGGAAUCAGGCCGUAUGUAGUUCAGGAGCCAUCGGCGAAAUAUGCCAAUGAAAAUUUGGAAGAGGCGGAUGCAACGGGGUUUGAAAUUUGUCAAGGGUUCGGAGAUCGGACGGUUACGAAAAACUGGAGCGGGAUCGCUCCCACUGAGACGACCAUGCUGGCCGGUGUACCUGCAAAUGAACGGUGUGCGGAUAUUUUGCAUAAUUUAAACGUGAUGCAAGUUCCCUUUGGACCAUGAAUGCUGUUUUCGGACGAUUAAGAUGACGUCCUCAGACAAUGAUGUCCUAGGCUAUGAAGAGCGCAAAAGUAAAGAUUCGCAGGCCAUGAAAUGGUUUUCUCGGACUAUGCGGAUGGUGCCUCUGAAAUAUGACGCCUUUGAAUAAGUUGGCGAUAUUUCAGCCCAUGAAAAGGUGGAAAUCUUUCAGCUGGAUGAAUGCAAGGGUUGUGAUGUUUCACAGCCUAUGAAAAGGUGGCAAUCUUUCAGCCAAAUGGAUGCAUGGGUGGCGAUGUUUCAGCCAAACCAAGAAUUUAAAAUGCAAGGCAGAAAUAUUUCAGCCAAAUGAAACAGGGUGGCAUUUUUUCAGCCAAAUGCAAAAUAAAAGAGGUAGACCUUAACCUCGAAAGGCAGAGAAUGGCCUUAUGCAAUGCAGGAUGGAGACAGAGUUUAGUCUCGGAAGGCAGCAGAUAGCCUUAUGCAGGAUGGAGGUAGAGCUUAACCUCGUAAGGCAGAUAAUAGCCUUAUGCAAGAUGGAGGCAGAGCUUAGCCUCGAAAGGCAUAGAGUAGCCUUAUGUAUAAUGCAGAUGGAGACAGAGCUUAGUCUCGAAAGGAAGAAGAUAGCCUUACGCAAGAUGGAGGUAGAGCUAAACCUCGGAAGGCAGAGAAUAGCCUUAUGCAAGAUGGAGGUAGAGCUUAACCUCGGAAGGCAGAGAAUAGCCUUAUGCAAUGCAGGAUGGAGACAGAGUUUAGUCUCGGAAGGCAGCAGAUAGCCUUAUGCAGGAUGGAGGUAGAGCUUAACCUCGAAAGUCAAAGAAUAGCCUUAUGCAGGAUGGAGGCAGAGCUUAGCCUCGGAAGGCAGAGAAUAGUCUUUUGCAAGAUGGAGGCAGAGCUUAGCCUCGAAAGGCAGAGAGUAGCCUUAUGCAAGAUGUAGGUAGAGCUUAACCUCGGAAGGCAUAGAAUAGCCUUAUCCAAUGUAAAAUGCAGAUGGAGACAGAGCUUAGUCUCGAAGAAUGCAGAAAUAUAAAGGAGAGGAUGAUGGUGAUUUUCUUAGCUGGUAGAUGAUUGCACUAUCGAUGACUGCCGGGGAAGCGUUGAAUGUAGAUAGUGAGCCUUUGCGAGGUAAGUAGUGGUUUCGGGGAACUUUGGUUUUGUAAAGCUCCGGCAUCGCCUAUUUGUACCCUGGAUUCCUUCAUCCAAAGAAAAAUCAUGAGUUAUGUAAGGGGGAGGUUAGUUCGCAUCCCUCAACUCGUGGCGUCUUGUACCAUUUGGGGUAGCGUUGCUGAACGAUAGUGAUCCAAAUGAUUUUAUACAAAAUGUGUCAAAUAUGAUGCGAAUGUAUAUGCAUAAGUAAAGCAAAGGAUAGUUUUUGUUUUAUGAUGAACCACAACUGCAACGUGGUUCAAGGCACGACAACCUCGCUGGAUCCGGAAUUUUGAGGGUCCUCCUCAAAAUUCUUCCCUAGUUUACUGAGGUGGCACUGUUGACAACAGUGCUGAAUGACUGGAAGCGGAUUGACCUUAUAAUUUUGGGGGUCCUCCUCAAAAUUCUGCCCCAGUUUACUGGGUCGAUGCUGAUACGAAGAUUGACAAGUUGACUUCGGAAUUUUGAGGGUCCUCAAAAUUCUGCCCUAAUUAGAAAUGCGGGGGGNNNNNNNNNNNNNNNNNNNNNNNNNNNNNNNNNNNNNNNNNNNNNNNNNNNNNNNNNNNNNNNNNNNNNNNNNNNNNNNNNNNNNNNNNNNNNNNNNNNNNNNNNNNNNNNNNNNNNNNNNNNNNNNNNNNNNNNNNNNNNNNNNNNNNNNNNNNNNNNNNNNNNNNNNNGGGGGGGGGGGGGGGGAUUGGAAUUUUAUUAAAGACGUGACCGAACCCCUAGGGCUGCCUACGUAUCCCCUCUUAAACGGGAGUCAGGUUAGAUGUAGUUCAAAUUACAUCAUAAAGAAAAGCAUACUGCUUAACUGUAAUAUCUCUUCAUUGCAUCUGUGUUGAUCGGUUUUGUCCAGAUUUCCCCAUCCAUUUCUACAAGAAUAAGGGCUCCUCCAGUUAGAACACGGUGGACCAUGUACGGACCCUUCCAGUUGGGAGAGAACUUCCCUUUGGCCUCAUCUUGAUGUGGAAAUAUAUUCUUCAACACCAGCUUCCCUGGUGUGAACUUCCUUGGUCGAACUCUCUUGUUGAAGGCUCUGGACAUUCUGUUCUGAUAUAACUGACCGUGACAGAUAGCGUUCAUUCUCUUUCCAUCUAUGAGGGCUAACUGCUGGUACCGAACCUUGACACACUCUGCGUCUUCUAGCUCAGCUUCUUGUAUGAUUCUCAAGGACGGAGUUUCUACUUCGGCGAGAAUUACCGCUUCUGUACCGUAAACAAGCAUGUAGGUAGUUGCCCCAGUUGAUGUGCGAAUUGUAGUACGGUAACCCAAUAAAGCAGACAACAACUUCUCAUGCCACGGAUUAUGCCUUUCGAUCAUUUUUCUUAGUAUUUCCCUGAUGUUCUUGUUUGCUGCUUCCACGGCUCCAUUCAUCUGAGGUCUAUAAGCCGUAGAAUUUCUAUGUCAGAUCUUGAAAGUUUCACACAUCGCUUUCAUCAAGUCGCUGUUGAGAUUGGAACCGUUAUCAUUGAUGAUUGACUCUGGAACAUCGAACCAACAAACAACAAGAUCCUGGACAAAGUCUGCCACGACUUUCUUGGUUACUGCUUUGUAUGAUGCUGCUUCGACCCAUUUAGUAAAGUAGUCAAUUGCCACUAGAAUGAACCUGUGUCCGUUUGAUGCGGCAGGCUCUAUUGGUCCAAUAACAUCCAUUCCCCAAGCGGCAAAUGACCAUGAUGAACUCGUUGCGGUGAGCUCGUUUGGAGGUACCUUUAUCAUGUCUGCAUGUAUCUGGCAGCAGUGACACUUCCAGACAUACUGAAUGCAAUUUGUUUCCAUAGUCAUGCAACAAUAUCCUACCCUAAGUAUCUUCUUUGCUAGAACAAAAUCGUUCAUGUGCGGUCCACAAGUCCCUGAGUGCACUUCUUCCAACAACUUGGUUGCUUCCGUCGCAUCGACACACCUUAAUAGUCCCAAAUCGUGAGUCCUCCUAUACAAGAUUCCUCCGCUGUGAAAGAAAUUGUUGGACAACCUUUGAAGUGUGCAAUUCUGAGUAGUAUUAGCAAGCUCUAGAUAUUCCCAUGUUGUUAGAUACAUUUUGAUAUCGUGGAACCAGGGCUUUCCGUCGGCUUCUCCCUCAACAUGUGCACAAUAUGCCAGUUGGUCAUGAAUCUUGACCUGGAUAAGGUUGAUGAAAUUUGUAUUUGGAUGCUGAAUCAUGGAUGAUAAAGUGGAAAGCGCAUCUGCAAACUCAUUUUGUAUUCUUGGAACAUGCUGGAAUUCCAUUUUUCUGAACCUCUUUCUUAACUCCUAUAUGUGGUGCAGAUAAGGGAGUAUCUUUGUAAUUCUUAGUUGCCCAUUCUUCUCAAACUUGGUGUAUGAGUAAGUCUGAAUCUCCAAUCACUAGCAGCUCCUGGAUGUUCAUAUCAAUGGCCAGUUUAAGCCCCAAACUGCAAGCUUCAUACUCGGCCAUGUUAUUGGUGCAAAGGAACCUGAGCUUGGCGGAUAUCAUGUAAUGUUGACCGGUUUCUGAGACUAGAACUGCUCUUAUACCAACUCCUUUGAAAUUUACGGCUCCAUUGAAAAACAUCCUCCAACCAUCAUAGGAUUCUGCAAUAUCUUCUACUAUAAAAGCUACAUCCUCGUCGGGAAAAUACGUUUUCAAUGGUUCGUAUUCCCAUUCCAUAGGAUUUUCUGCGAGAAGAUCUGCCAAAGCAUGUCCUUUAACUGCCUUCUAGGUGACAUAGACAAUGUCGAAUUCACUCAACAAAAUUUUCCACUUGGCGAGCUUGCCAGUGGGCAUGGGCUUCUGAAAAAUAUACUUUUGUGGAUCCAUUCUUGAUAUAAGGUAGGUAGUGUAAACAAAGAAAUAAUGCCUCAACUUCUGAGCUAUCCAUGUCAAAGCACAACAGGUGCGUUCUAGCAAAGAAUACCGAGCCUCAUACGGGGUAAAUUUCUUGCUGAGGUAGUAAAUAACUUGCUCCUUUCUCCCCGUCUCAUCAUGUUGUCCCAAGAAACAACCAAAUGCUCCAUCCAAAAUCGCGAGAUAGAGAAAUAAAGGCCUCCCAAGCUCAGGUGGAACCAAGACUGGAGGCGUAGACAAGUAUUCCUUGAUCAUGUCGAAAACCUUUUGACAUUCAUCGGUCAAUUUGGUGGCGGCAUCCUUCUUCAGCAUCUUGAAGAUAGGUUCACAGAAACUCCUGAAUAGAUUUGACCUUUGAUGGAUCCAGCUCUACUCCUCGGCGACUCACGCUGAAACCCAAUAACUUUCCCGCAGGGACCCCAAAUGCACACUUGGAAGGAUUCAGUUUCAAGUUAUACCUACUUAGUCUGUUGAAAAACUUUUGGAGGUCCUCCAUGUGAUCUGCAACCUUCUUGGACUUAAUGAUGAUGUCGCCACGUAUACCUCAAUCUCCUUAUGUAUCAUGUCAUGGAAGAGGGUAUUCAUGGCCCUCAUGUAAGUGGCUCCUGCAUUUUUCAAUCCAAACGACAUCAUUCUGUAGCAAUACAUUCCCCAAGGCGUGGUAAACGCCAUUUUCUAUGCAUCUUCCUUAUCCAUCCAUAUCUGAUAGUACCCCGCAAAGCAAUCGACGAAUGACUGCAACUCAUGCUUAGUGCAGUUUUCGAUCAGAAUGUGUAUGUUUGGCAAUGGGAAAUCGUCUUUGGGGCUGGCCCGGUUGAGAUCCCGGUAGUCGACACAGAUUCUAACUUUCCCAUCCUUCUUCGGUACUGACACAAUGUUUGCUAACCAAGUUGGAUACUCUACCACUUGAAGAACUCUUGCUUUGACCUGCUUGGUGACCUCUUCUUUGAUUUUUAAACUCAUAUCUGGCUUGCAUUUUUUGACCUUCUUCUUUACCGGCAGACAUGCAGGAUCUGUCGGUAACUUGUGAGCAACAAUGGAUGUGCUGAGGCCAGUCAUAUUGUCGUAAGACCCAUGCGAAGAUAUCCGCAUAUUCCCUUAAGAACUCUAUAUAUUCCUCUUUCUCUGUCCGUGAUAACUGAACACUAAUGCACGUUUCUUUAACAUUCUCUGUAUCUCCCAAAUAAACGACUUCGGUUUCAUCCAAGUUGGACUUAGGUCUAUUCUCAAAAUUCUCGGCCUCUUUGACAACCUCUUCUGGUAUAUCCUCCUCCUCUGAGUCUAUGUCUGUUUGUUCCAUAGCCUCGUUGCAAGUUACAUUUGUUGGUUCAUGGUAUAUCAUCCUCCUCUGAGUCUAUGUCCGUUUGUUGCAUAGCCUCAUUGCAAGUUACAGUUGUUUGUUCAUCAUCAAGAUACGUAAUAGUAAUGAUGUGUGAAAUAAACGUAAUUGUAAGAUGCUGGUACAUCGAUGACUUGGAAAUCAGCGUCAAACCAAGUGGGUCCCAUUUGCAAACACAGGCUAAUCCCCCCGAGAGUGGACCUCUGAGAACCUUCAAAAUCCUUAGCAUUAAUAGCCCCGUCUUUUAUCUCGUGUCCUUUGCCUAACUUCUUGAGGGUGAUCAAUGGACAAAUGUUGAGGCUAGAACCUCCGUCGUCUAAGAUCCUGGUGAUGAAACAAUCCUCACAUUGCACAGUGAUGUGCAGUGGUUUGUUAUGGCCGAGCUCCUCAUGUGGCAAUUCAUCCUCAUGUAAGGUGAUUUUUUGACUUUCCAAUACCUUCCCUAUCAUGUUUUCCAUCUCUCCUCCUGUUAUGUUGCUCGGGACAUAGGCCUCGCUCAAUAUCUUCAUCAAGGCAUUCUUAUGCGCCUCGAAAUUCUGUAGCAAAGCCAAGAUGGAAAUCUGUGCUGAAGUCAUAUUUAGCUGUUCGACAAUUGAAUAUUCAUUAGCCUAUAUCUUUCUCCAGAGGUCAUCGGGACCAGUUUCAUUGGGACGUCCAGAGGCUUGCUUGCUGGACUCAGUUAGGUGCUCUGGUGUGUACACCCUACCUGUUCUAGUCAUAUCUUGAGCGGCGAUUACUUCACCCGUGCAUGCUUUUCCCUUCCUUCUCACCUUGGCUAUGUAGACGGUAACUGCUUCACCAGUGCGCGCUUUUCCUUUCCUUCUCGCCUCGGUUGUGUAGUCCCAGGGUAUGGCAUUUGACUAAAAUGGGGUUAUGUCCGACAUGGUGACCGGAAUGGGCACCCUUGGAGGAAACAUAGCAACUUCAACUGGUGUGGGCGUCUUUGGAGUCCCAAACUCCACCUCAAUUGGUUUUGGCACUUUUUCAGGAGGUGCCUCAAACUUAAAUGGUACAGAUAUAUUCACCACGUUGUCCUCAGAUGGAAGGAUUUGCACAACAAUAGGAUUAAGAGUGACCGUCGGUUUCUUGAGCUCAUCUCCUUCAGAUAUCAAACCAAUUAACCCCUCGGGGUCCCAAUCGUCCUCAACCUCAAUCAUGUGGAUGACUCCACCUUUAUGGUCUGGAAGAGGGUUGUUACGAACAUUAGGAGCGGGCUCCUUAGCUGUGAUGACCUUGUUGUCAAUUAAGGUCUGGAUUUUAUCCUUCAACGAGCGACACUCGUCAAUGGCAUGGACCUUCAUCCCUGAACAGUAUGCGCAUGUUUUAUUUGGGUUGAUCAAUUGGGAAGGGUUUUAUGGGGUUAUGGCCAGGAUGGGUGUAACAUAUCCAGCGGCUUUGAGCUUUACAGUUGGUCAAUGGGUUCAGCAAUAGCAGUGUAGUGUCUGGGUGGUUUACGGUCAUAGUAUGGUCUUGGUCGCGGGAAGUUUUGGCAGGUAGGUGGUGAUGGAUAGUGAGGAGGUUGGAGUUGUAAUCUUGGUAUACGGGUGCAAGUUGGGAAUAUAGUGGCGAGGUGGGCUGAUAUGUUGGUGAUGGAGAUGUUUGGUAGACGAGAUGUGGGUUUUGAUAGGUAGGUGAAGGUGCUUCGUAAUUUAGAGAGGGUUGGUAUGUGAGUGGAGUUGGAGGGUACGGUUGGUAUUUCAUGGGAGAGUGGUUUCUCUGGCCAUUACGGAGUUUACAUCUUUUUUCUUUAUUGUACCACCAGAUUGCAAGGCUUUGUUGGUGGCCUGCAGCGCCUCAAGGUUAGUAACUAUACCACUUUUGAUCCCAUCUUCAAUCCUUUCUCCAAGCUUGAUGAUAUCAACACGUUUCUUUGUGUAGCCAUUAUGGAGUUUACAUCCUUUUUCUUCGACAUACCACCAGAUUGCAAGGCUUUGUUGGUGGCCUACAGUGCCUCAAGGAUAGUAACCAUACCAUUUUUUAUCCCCUCUUCAAUUAUUUCUCUCAGUUUGAUGCAGCGAACUUCCGCCCCUCUACCAGCAUCAAUCUCUUGUAUUACUGUGGGUCCUGAGCAGGAACGAAAAAUCUGUUCAUUUGUUCUUCUUCCAAAGCCGGCCUGACUUUGGCAGCUUCCGACCUCCAACGAGUAGCAUACUCGCGAAAGGUAUCGCUAGGCUUCUUCUUCAAAUUCUGAAUAUAGAACACGUCCGGCGCGUUCUCAAUGUUGAACCUGAAACGGUCCAUGAAAUCAAAUGCUAUGUUUACCAGCUAGUCCACUUCUUCGCAUCUUGGCUGAUGUACCAAGAUAACGCAUCACCUUUCAAGCUCCUCAUGAAUAAUUUCAUGCGGAUCUUUUCAUUUCUACCGACUCCCUUUAACUUGUCACAAUACAUCAUGAGGUGAACCCUGGGAUCAUCCGUACCAUCAAACAUUUCGAAAUUAGGAGGUUUGUACCCCUCGUGGAGUUCGACAUCAGGUUGAACACAAAGGUCUUCAUAAUUUAGACCCUCUACGCCUUUAUUACCUUCCACGCCUUAAACCCUGCUAGUAAGUUUCGUAAGUUCAGUAGCCAUGUUUUGAAUGAGUGAGUGAUUCUGACACAUCUGAUAUGGGCUGUGUAUAGUAUGGCACAGUAUCCCCAAAGAUAGGGGUAUUAUGGUAGUUUGGAGCAUUUUGAGGCUCAGGGAUGAGCGGUGGGGCAUUGUUGCGAACCUGGGUUGGAAUCUUCUGUGGAGGUGCAGGGACCUGGUUGUUGACAUCUGCAGCAGCAAAGGAGAUGGACAAGCUUUCCAAACUCCGGACCUGGUCCAGUUCCUCUCGAAACCUUAUUAAAGUUUGCUCCAAGUGAGAAGCAGUUUCUUUAGUGAUCGGGGUACCCUGAGAUGUUUCUUCAAUUUCCUUCCUUGCUUCGUUAUCUCCCAUCUUUCCUUUGUUUCUGUUUCUGGGAGGACUCGGAGAAGGAGGAGGAGGAGGAGGAGGAGGAGGAGGAGGACCCUUUGAUCUUGUUGAGUAUGCUGAUGGUGCCAGAAUGUAUGAACUAACCUUUGGGGAGGGGAAUAAAAAUAAAAGAAAAACAAAAGGUAAAAAGUUAGUGCGGGAGGAGGAGGAGGACCCUUUGAUCUUGUUGAGUAUGCUGACGGUGCCAGAAUGCACGAACUAACCUUUGGUGAGGGGAAUAAAAAAUAAAAGAAAAACAAAAAGGUAAAAAGUUAAUGCGGAUUCUGAGAAAGAGAACAUUGCGGUAUUUAAACACGUUGUUGAAGGAAUAUAAGUCGUUUCCUAUUUGGGUGCCUCGUUGUGCCCAAGGUAGGCCUAGCGACAAAUAUGAGUUGGAGAACUUGUAAUACCAAAUGCCUCAUUUUAUUGACAGAAAAUAGAACGAGUCAAAACAAACUGAAAUAAAGAAAAAUUGUCACUAGUGGCCAAGGGCGUUAUUACAUCAGGAAAGCAGUAAAAUCCUAACUACUUGGUCCCAGAAGGACCUUCCCCAGAUUCGUCAUCUUUGCCUCCUUCGUAUAGUUUCAUCAUCUCACGCAGUCCCAGCAACAAGUAAGCUCGAGCCAUGUGCCCACCUUCGUUUCCUUCAGCUUCCUGACAGUCAUUGAUCCUUUUCAAAAACUUGCCUUCCAGCUCUACUAGACUCUGUUCCAAGUACCCUAAACGUUUGUUUGCGCGGACAACCAUGUCCUUCCAUUCAUUGAUUACCUUCUCUUGAGCCUCUAGCAUUUCCCAAUGUUCACUUUCACACUCUCGCAUCCACUUGUGCAACUUAUACUUGACCUUUGCGGUAGCCUCCUUAUCAAUAACCCUGUGCCCAUGGAUGAAACCCGUUUUUCGCAAGCCAAUGUGAUCCACUUGCGUAGCUGAUUAUACUUAACCUUUGCUGCAGCCUCCUCAUCAAUGACCUUGCGACCAUGGACGAAACCCUUUCUUCCAAAGCCAAUAUGAUCAUCUUCUAACCACCCCGGAUAAAGCGGCGCAUACCCUGUCUGAUACAUGUCUAGCUCCAUAGAUUCCAUUUCCAAACUGAUUUUGGAGUGCCACAUAUGCUAAUCCCGACACCUAUGCGGGCUAUCGUCAUCUUGGAAAUCAGCCCUGUAGUGACUCAUAUUUUCCACCCUCGGUAUAAUCUACUUCCUUCUGGCUUACCUCAUGACUCUGAGAGAGACAUAAGGGUAAGUUCCUCUUAAGCCGAUGAGUACAAAGAAUGGUGCAUCCCUAGACCGAAUGAUAAACUCUCCAGUUGGAAACCACUCGUACAUCCAUUGNNNNNNNNNNNNNNNNNNNNNNNNNNNNNNNNNNNNNNNNNNNNNNNNNNNNNNNNNNNNNNNNNNNNNNNNNNNNNNNNNNNNNNNNNNNNNNNNNNNNNNNNNNNNNNNUCAAUUGUUCCACCUAUCCAUUGGCGUCUUCCGGGUGAGCGAACAUAUCCGGCAUGAAGUGCAUCCAUUUUAGAUGAUGGAAGGCAAUAUGGUCAUCCCAAUCUCGUCGUAUGAUCUCUUGUCUAUACUCUCCUUUAUAAAGAUGCUCAAUGAGCCAGAGUUGUUGUAGCAAAUUGCACCCUUCAAAGUGCGGUGCCCCUUUUUGACAUUUUUCUAAGGCUCGGUACAGUUCGGCGAGGAUCAUGGGUGCUAUGCUGAAUUUCUACCCGUCGAUACCCUCCAUUACGGCUUUGGAUACCAUGGCAGUCUUGUAUGGAUUCUAGCCUUCUUCAUUGGAAAAACUAUCAUGCCCAAGAAACAUAACAUGAAUACAAAGGCCCUCCUAUGUAUGUGCCCCAAAGAGGUGAGGGAGAAUUCGUCCAUGUGAUUGCAGUAUAAUUUUCUAUGUCCAAAAAUUUCAUACAUGAAGUCGAAGGAUAUGUAGGAGUCCUUCAAACUGGUCAGAUUAGGAUUCUUCUUGAGCCCCAUCAUUUUCAAGAACCCUCUACCUUUGUGUUUUUCCGGCAUAAGCAAACCUGGGCUAUCCCAAGGAAUUCCGGCUCGACCCCCAAUUUCUUCCAAUAACAGUGUCAUUUCAAUAUCCCCAAAGCGGAAGACGGGCCGUUCACUAUCCCAAAACCUAGUAGCAGCUUCCACAAUCUUGUUAUCAGUCCUAACUUCCAGAAGUGAAGGAAGACUUCCUAAGUGCUUGCAGACAAGAACCCGAUCACUACCAUGCAAAUCAUCCCACCAGCUUAGCAACUUUGAAUGAAUGUUUGAUACCAUACCGAAUCUGGGACCUCGUGCCUCAUUUUCCUGCAAAAUAGAGAGUUAGGCCCUUAGCCCCACCGGACUCGACUAUUACAAUCAAUAAUUAGCAAAAGGUAUUUAAUUCUCCAAAUCAAUGCACAUAACGUGAUUGUCCGUUUGGAUUUCGAGAAAACCCGAUGGACUCUGGUUUAGGCUAUCCUAGUGAGUCAUUAUGUGGACAACAUAACUGACUCGUCUUAGUUCGACCUUGAUGCAUGAACAUUUAAACAGAGUAAGGCUUCUAUUUGAAGUGCUAGACAAGGUACCCUUGANNNNNNNNNNNNNNNNNNNNNNNNNNNNNNNNNNNNNNNNNNNNNNNNNNNNNNNNNNNNNNNNGUGCUAGACAAGGUACCCUUGAGCGGACAACUCAAGAGGGAAAGGCACGGAACCGUCGACUACACCGUUGAUCGACUGGUUUUACUGCAAAUACGCCUUUUCCAAAUUUAGGGGGUUUGUAAUUAUGGAAGAGAGCAACCACUCAGCAUAAGUGUUGCUGUAGCAUUUGUUUGGCACGAGUGGAAAAUGAUGUUGAAGGAUGCAAUUACAACAAUGGAAAAAUGCAUGUAUUUUCACGUUCAUACAAUAAUGAUCACAAUAAAUACUCGAAAUUUAAGACGGAAUUGAAGUAAAAUGAGGUAAUAAAGCAGUAAAACGGUUAAAGAAAAAGAAAGACACGAAGAAACGAGUUAGUAAUUGUGGAGAAAUAAUUAAGGCAAUAAAGGUAAUAAAGAAAGCAAUAAAGCCACAAAACACGUAAUGGUAAAAGCCUAAUAAGAUUUCGCCAGCAGAUUCGCCAUGCUGUCGACGCCCCCUUUUUCCUUAAAAGAAAGUGAAAUCGGGUUAUACGACAUUAUGGGCAAAACAAGUCUAUUUCUUAUUUGGGAAUUUGGUUAUGGAAUGGAAGAGUCGCCACCUGAUGAUUAUAGUGCAUUAGGACACUUAAGAGAGAUUCUCUCGAAAGGAAGGUGUUAGGCACCCCUCAAGAUCCACUAGUGUGGUUCCCGCCCGUGUUAAUCGUGACUUUAUAAAAUAUAAAACAAUUAAAACAAAUAAUUUUCACACAUGUAACAUUCGUACAACGUGAAAAGCUUUAAAGAAGAAAGAAGGACACAAAUUUAAAAUAAAAGAGAAUUGAUUUGAAAAAGCAUUACUAUAUGAAAGCAUUUAAAUAAAGCAAAUAAGAGAAAGGAGGAUCAUAGGUUUGACUACCAUAUAGAUCAUUCGAUGCAAUAUCCCGCAUAUAUUCCCAAAGAGGGGUCGCUUUAUGAUAUUAUCACAUCGUCAUAUACACUAUGGAUCAUUCAAUGCAAUAUCCCGCACAUAUUCCCAAGAGGGGUCGCUUUAUGAUGUUAUCGCAUCGUCAUCAUCUCCAUAUUCUACCCUUCCCACCCCUUAGAGGUCAUUUAAGCGUGUGAAAUUCUUAUUGCGUGCUAUUACCCCUCCAGUCCUAUAUAUCCUAUAGGGCACUUAGGAUCGCUAUUCCUAUGAUGUAGGAACUAGGUAGAACCCUUAAUUUUAAGGUUAAAAUACUAGGAGACAUUCAAAAACAAAUAGGACUUGCAUGUAAGGGAAUCAUAUAGAUCAUAUAAAAGGCUCAAAUAACCCUCUAUAAGAGAACACGUAAGUAGCACGCCUCAAACACAUGUAAGGUCUAAGGAAAAGAGAGUUUUAAAAGCUGGAGUGUUGACAAAUAUAUUUAAGACAUGUAGACGACUCAAACACAUGUAAGGUCAAAGGAAAAGAGAGUUUUAAAAGCUGGAGUGUUGACAAAUAUAUUUAAGACAGCAGCUGAAACAGCUUUUAAAAAACAUAAUUCGCAUAAAAGGUUGGAUGAAAACAUUUGGGACUUGAGAAAGGAAAAUGGGUGUGUGACAAUUUAGAAAUCGGAAGGAAAACCUUUUAAACACAGUUGAAAAUACAUAACACGUAUGAUAAACCAGUUUUCAGAUAGGAGAGGUAAAAACAAAUGUAAUACUAUUCAGAAAUGUUAAAGAACGUGUAAGUAUAUUAAUUUUUAAUACUGCAGAAGGUACAGUAUUCAGACAAGUUGUAAAAAAUAGUAAUCAAUUUCUGGACUAGGAAGAAGAGUAACUUAGUAAAAUAUUUGCACAUAAGGGAUGGACAUAAGGCAGAAGUUUAGUGUAAAAAUCAGCGGACCUUGGAGAGGCAAACAAAAUCAGACGGUUUAAAAGGGGUGAAUAGCCUAAGCUGGAUUUAAGGUGAUUAAUCAAUUUCAUUUAACCAAAGGUUUGCCCAGGCGUUGCUUAACCAUAAGAGAAAGGUGGACAUACACGUCAUUUUUAAAAAAGGAAUGGGUUAACUAGUUUUACGUCUAUUUAACAAAAUUAGUGAGGCGUUCAACAGUGGUAAAAAAAAGAAGACCCUAAGUACAUGAUAUCUAAUGCAUAUAAAGGCCCUAAAACAUGGUAUCUAAAUUCAAGGUAGUAAUUUGAUUAUUAAUUGAUUGUGAUUAUAAAAAUAACAAGCUAAAAGAAAAAGACCUAAGAACAAUAUUUCUAUAUGUGAGAUGCAUGUCCUAUACAUGGUUUCUAUUGCGCAAAUAGAUAAGUAAAGUCCUAUAAACAUGUUCUCUACCCAAUCCCUUAAUAAUCAUGCAUAGCCCUCCCCAAUUUCACUAUUAUCCUCAUUGUUCUUUACAAAUUAUUACAGACCAAGAAAUUUAAAAAAUACAACAGUGAAAGAAUAGAAGAAGCUAUUCUAUUGGGAGCCUACAGUCAGGCCCAAGCAUCUCCAACCUCACUCCUUUCGAGUUUCACAGCCAUUACCAACGCUUGGGUGCGAAAAAGUUCCCUAGUGGUUUGUUUGAACCCCUGGCCAAUACCAAGCACCCAAAAAUGUCCCAAUUAGACAAGUACAAGCAUGGAAGUGCCAGCCUUGUGCAUCAAAGUUCCAAAGGUAAAAAGUUAGUGCGGAUUUUGAGAAAGANNNNNNNNNNNNNNNNNNNNNNNNNNNNNNNNNNNNNNNNNNNNGUCCCAGUUAGACAAAUACAAGCAUUGGAAGUGCCAGCCUUGUGCAUCAGAGUUCCAUGGGUGCUCAAGGCUCCCAUGGCAGUGCUUGCACUAAGGGGGCAGACCCUAAAGCUCUAAGAAUGACAUUGUAAUUGAAAGAAUUGAAAACAGUUGAGAGACAGUUUAAGAAAAUAGUUAAAAGAAUUGAGAGAGUUAAGAAGAGGGUUGGAAAAGUUGAGACAGUUUAAUAAAAUAGUUGAAAGAGUUGAAAAAGUUCUUUUGAAAUUAUUUUAGACUGACCAGUUUUAAAACAGCAGGGCAUCACACAAACAGGGGGCAAAGGGGAAAGGGGGACAAAUAAGUAAAGUGAAUUACAGACAUACAAACAACAUGUUGGAGGAAAAUAAUCAGACAUGAUUCUAAGCCAAGGGUUCAAUUUACUGCACCAAAUUCUGAUACACUUAGCUUCAAACAGAGAUUUUAGGUUAAACAAGUAGCCAAGCAAACAUGGAUGCAUAGUAGUAUCACACAGGGAAGGGUAGACAUUCAUUGAGACAGGGGAGGGGAUAAGGGAGAAAAUAAGUAAAGUGCAUAGUUAACAUAUUUGAGGAAAAUAAUCAAGCAUGGUUGUAAAGCAAGGAUUGAAUUCUUACUGCACCAAAUCCCAAAUAGAAUCAACCUCAGGGAGAUGUUUCAGGGCUGUUAAGUAGCAAGCAGUAGUGGACAUGGAAGAAGAACAUGCAUUGAAACAGGGAAAGGGAAUGGGGAAUGGGGGUAAACAUGCUAAGUUAGACUAGUAGACUGACAACUACAUGCUAGUGGAAAUAAGAGCAACUGAACCAUAGGUAAAAGCACACAAGAAAUAAUAUGAAUUGCAAAACUAAUAGGAGCAUGCUGUUUUGGAGGCUUUAUCUUAAAUAGGUGACAUACCAGUUGUAGGUAAUAGGAUACAAUAGAAAUUCAAUAGUGUACAAAGGGAGAGCAAAGUGUGCAAAGAAUGAGAGCAGCAGUUAAUAGGAUACAAUAACAAUGCAAUAGUGCCUAAAGGGAGAGCAAAGUGUGUAAAGAAUGAGAGCAGUAGUGUGAGUAACCGCAGUAGGAGAAUAACAGCAACAAUAUGAGAAUAGCAGCAGCAACAGACCCAAUGCAACAAAUAGAACCCAAUAGUGUAAAGUAAUCAACCCUAGUUAGUCAAUCUUGGUUGUUAGCCGAUUGAGUGUUCAAAGAAGAGAAUGAGAGAGUGUAGUAAUAGCAGAGAACGAGAGAAUUCUAAGAGUUUUAGAUUGUGAGAGCAGUGUGUGUUCAAUUUUUCAAAGAUAAGGGGGGAGUAUUUAUAGUAUUGAAAAAGAGUAAACGAACAAGGUAUCAAUCCAUAUUUAAGGAACUGAUAUCAAUAAACAUUAAAUAAGUAUAGGGACUCCCCUUUAAUUAAGAAAUCAUAGUCAAACGGUAAUAAGCAGUCAUUUUGAAAAGGAUAGGAAUUACAAGGUAUGGCCUGACCACAUAAGGAAACAAAAAAAGUAUAAGGUAUACAUUGCAGACUAGGUGCAUGAUACUUAACUAUGGAAAUAUGUCAAGCAAGUAAAUCAGCAUAUUUGUGCACACAUAUAAGGAAAAUACCACUUCAUUUCUGAAAAAUAAUUUUCGAAAUUGAAAACUUGGGAGAUCAGUUAUUUAAUUGAGGAAUGUAUCCCACUGAUCGAGGACUGGGAAAUAAUUUUCAAAACUGAAAACAUGGGGGAUCCGUUAUCUGAUUGGGGAAUGUAUCCCACUGAUUGAGGAAGAAAAUUCGAAAUAAAUACCAAAACUUUAAGGAAAAUAAAUAAAUCACUAUUUAAGGUUAGUAAUCACAGUCUUAAAAAGAACUUUUAAGAAUCAGUAUAAAAUCACAAUGUAAAUAACCAGAAAAAACCUUAAGAGAAGAACAACAACAUGGUAUGGGAAUGAAACACUAGCGAUAAAAAAUCAAAGUAAAGAGCACGGAGCUCAUAGAAGAAACUAGAAGAAACAUGCAAAUAGGCAGAUACAGAUACAAACAUGUAGGGUUAGGGUUCUUAUCAGCUUUUAACAAAAGGUUUAGAAGUAGUACUGAAAGUUACGGAUUAGUGUUAAAAAUCAGAAAAGUAAAGUAUUUUCGAAGGGGGUUAGAAACCCUAGCAAUAGAAAUCUCAGUAUGAAGCCCAGGUUAACAAGGAAAACCAACAAACAAGUGAAAUAAAUAAACACAAACGAAUAUAUAGCACUCAGAAGAGUAGAAGAAACGAUUUUGAAGAAAGAGUCAGAAACCCUAAUUUGAAAGAAAAAAUGGUAAUCAUCCGAACAAUUUUGAAAUAACCGGAAAUGCUAAGUAAAAAUCGAGUAGAAAACAAAAAUCAGACUAUGAGUUAUUUUAAAAGAGUAGUGAUUAAAGAGGAAAAUCAGGGUUUUCAAACAAAUUAGGGAAAACGAAGAACCUGACUGUGAAACUCGUAUACAUUUCCAUAGAAGGCAUCAUCGUACAAAGACCAUCGGAGAAAAGCCGGAAAACAGACCCAAGUAGAGCUUCAGUGACCGUCUUUCAUGGAGGAAGCUGCUAGGCUUAAAUCUUGAGAGAGGAAACCAUGACAUAAGGACUCCAUGGCUGCCGGAAGUCGAGAUAAGUGAGGGAGGAGUGAGCCGGAGAGGCGAUGAUCUUCAUCAGAGAUGAAGGAGAGAAUUAGAAGGUUCUAGAGAGACGAAGGGUUAGAGAGCGUUUUGGGAGUGAAAUGGGAUAAAAGGGCGGCGAAUUUAGAAAAUGAAUUAGGGUAAAGGGGGUUAUGGGUUUAAUUAUGGUAAGGUUAAUUGUGGACCGUUGAUCGAAAUGAUCAACGACCACGAUAUAAAACGGGGGUCCGGGUGGGUUGAUCCAAAUAGGUUUGGGUCGGGUGAUUUUAUAACAGGGUCAUGAUUUCGGGGGUGAAUUUGGUUUAAAAUGUGGCCAAAAUUGAAAGAUUAAAGGGCUAUAAAAUAAACGCCCAAUUUUCCCUAAUUAAUUUAUAAAAUUUAGUAAUUUUUUUUUAUUAAAAUCCAAUAAAAAUACUGAGAUAAUAUGAUACGUGUAGGGAUUAAUUAAAAGUAUUAGGAAUGAAUUUUUUACUUGAAUUACUUAUUAAAUUGAGAAAUAAGCUAAAGUUGCAAUUUAUUGCAAUUUUAGUUUAAAAAUAUCUAAUGGUUUUAUAAAAAUUAUGGAAAAAUUACAUAAAUUAUAUUUUUAUGUGGAUGAGAAAGUAAAAUAAAUUAUUUAUUAAAAUUAACAAGAUUUGAUACUAAAGAUUAGAUUUUCUAGUACAAAAUAACUUGUAAAUUGAUUUUAAAAAUACUAGAAAAAUACCAAACCUUUCGUGGAUGCUUAUAUAUGCAUUCAAAAGCUACUUUUAAAAUAUUUUGGGUACAAAAAUACAUUGGAAAAAUUGGGUAUCAACAACAUGCAUGAAGAUUUUAUGAAGAAAUUUCAAAGCAAGUGUAUGGGGUUCCCUUCUCAAGCUAAAUUUUGAAAUUUGGGGGAAAUAGGUUAGGGAUUUUUACCUGCGAAAUCAAUAGUGAAGACAAUGCACCAAGGAUUUUCCAAGCUCCAAUGAUUUUGAAAGACUAGAUGAUGAAGAAUUUACUUUCUCUCUCAAGAACCCUCUCUCACUCUCUCUUAUUUUGAUCAGAAGUGUAUUAAAAUAAGUGAGAAGGUGUUUUAAUAAAAGGUGGGUCGGGUCUAAAAUUUUAGAAAAAUACCAGGCGAGCUCGAUUUGCGACGCAAUCUGCGAUUGCAGAACUGACAUGCGGUCCGCAAAAUAGACCGCAGAAUUGGCUCAAGUUUCAAACAUCUCGGAUUGGGAAUGCAGUGAAUAUGCGGUCCGCAUUCGAGUUAUGCGGUCGCAGAAUGCACCGCAUAACUAUCCUUCGAAUUUUCUCAGGGACAAUAUGCGAUCACUCUGCGGUUUAAUUAUGCAAUUGUAGAUUUGACCGCAUUUUCAACAUAAAAAAUUGGUUGCUCUCUGAUUCACUAUGCGGUGGGAAUGCGGUCCGCAUAGCUGAUCUGCGACCGCAUUCAGGACCGCAUUUUGACCAUUUUCUGAAAAGAUUUUGAUUUCAAAUUUUUAAGUUCAAAACAAUAAAAAGAAUCCGAUCCAUGUAGGUAGUUUCGACUCUAUGAGUUGCUAACAUCUGAGCACUCAUUUCACGGGGCCUUACAUCCUCCCCCGCUUAAGAUCAUUCGUCNNNNNNNNNNNNNNNNNNNNNNNNNNNNNNNNNNNNNNNNNNNNNNNNNNNNNNNNNNNNNNNNNNNNNNNNNNNNNNNNNNNNNNNNNNNNNNNNNNNNNNNNNNNNNNNNNNNNNNNNNNNNNNNNNNNNNNNNNNNNNNNNNNNNNNNNNNNNNNNNNNNNNNNNNNNNNNNNNNNNNNNNNNNNNNNNNNNCUUGAUACACUUUUAACCAUUUGGCACACAACAUAUAAUCAAAUUAAGCAUUAAUCACCUGUACUAUUAAAGCCAUUUACCUAUCACAAGGGUACGAUACUGUUACUCAUUUCAAUACAAUUCCUCCAUGCAAAAACUAAUCAUUACACAAUUAGAAACACUUUGAUACACAGUCUCCAUGCAAAAUUAAUUAUUAUUUCCAUACAUCACCUUACCAUGGGAGCACAAAACUUUCAUUACCAAAAAGGACUGCACAUUGAGCAAAUAGUUACAACACAUAAACUUGGUUGGCACAACUUGGAGAAACUACAACAAUAAAGCACUUGUAAAGAGAAUGAAUGAUUCUUACACCUAAUGGAACAAAUCACUAGCUCUUCUAGGGACAUGAUUCGCACGAUCAUUUAUGAACUUAUUCAAAUAGAUAGGGGUAUUUUAUCUUCAUCUCAUCUUCCGCUUCCUAUGUGGCUUCCUCGACUUGUUGGUUUCUCCACAACACCUUAACUGAAGCAAUCUUCUUGUUCCGCAACUUUCGGACUUGCCUAUCUAGAAUAGCAACUGGAAUCUCUUCAUAUGAUAACUCUUCUGUAACCUUGAUGUCCUCAACUGGCACAAUUUUAGACGGAUCACCCACAACUUUCCUCAACAUGGAUACAUGAAAGACCGGGUGCAGUAAGGACAUUUCAGGGGGCAAUUCCAACCAAUAUGCAACUUGACCGAUCUUUUGAGUGACUUGAUAAGGCCCGAUGUACCAAGGACUUAGUUAUCCCUUCGUCCCAAAGCGCAUGACUCUCGUCAUAGGGGACACCCUCAAGAAUACCCAAUCUCCUUCUUGAAACUUCAAUUCUCUUCGACGCANNNNNNNNNNNNNNNNNNNNNNNUAACAUGGAUUUUCCCAAAGCACAUGACUCCCUUCAUAGGGGACACCCUCAAGAAUACCCAAUCUCCCUCUUGAAACUUCAAUUCUCUUCGACGAACGUCCGCAUAGGAUUUCUGGAGACUUUGAGCAGUCUUCAUCCUCUCCUGAAUGACUCUUACCUUCUCCAUGGCAUGAUGAACGAGAUCUGGCCGUAUUAAUUCUGCUUCACCAACUUUAAACCACCCGAUCGGGGACCUACACCUUCUUCCGUACAAUGCUUCGAAUGGGGCCAUCUGGAUUCUACUUCACCAACCUCGAACCACCCGAUCGAGGACCUACACCUUCCGUACAAUGCUUUCAAUGGGGCCAUCUGGAUGCUAGCAUGGAAGCUGUUGUUAUAAGCAAAUUCUACUAGGCGUACCUUUGAAAUCCAAUAUACAUGCCUGCAACAUAUCCUCGAGCGUCUGAAUAGUUCGCUCUGCUUGGCCAUCGGUCUGCGGAUGAAAAGUUGUGCUAAGAUUCACUUGAGUACCCAAUCCUUGCUGAAAUUUCCUCCAGAAGUUAGCUGUAAACUGAGCUCCUCGAUCCGAAAUGAUAGAAAGUGGCGUACCAUGAAGCCUCAAUAUCACCUUGAUAUACAACCGAGCAUAUUAUUCUGCAGUAUCGGUGGACUUGACCGGCAAAAAGUGAGUUGAUUUGGUGAGCCUAUCCACAAUUACCAAAAUUGAGUCGAACUUGUGCUGAGUACGAGGUAGUCCUAUCACGAAGUCCAUAUUGAUCAUUUCCCACUUCCAUAUCGAUAUUUCUAUAAGCUGAGUUAACCCAACCGGCGGUUGAUGCUCGGCCUUCACUUGCUGGCAAUUUGGACACUUAGAGACGAAGUCCACCACACUCUUCUUCAUACCACUCCACCAAUAGAUAUCCUUGAGAUCGUGAUACAUCUUUGUAGAGCCUGGGUACACUGAAUACCUGGAAUGAUGAGCCUCCGCCAUUACCCUCUCUUGAAGAUUAUCCACAUCCAGGACACAUAACCUGUCAUGGCACCGUAGUACACCAUCAUUGCUGCCGAGUGAAAAUGCUAAAAUUUUGUUACUUAGAGCUGCCUCCUUCAAUUGUGCCAAUGCUGGAUCAACAAACUGCUUUUCUUUAGCCUCUGCCACAAGCGACGAUUCUGCUAUAUUAUGCACCAUAAGUUCCUCCUUAUUCAUGGCUGAGAUACAAACCCCAAGGCUAGCCAACUGAUGCACCUCCCAAGCUAGGAUCCUCUUAUCCGCUCUCAAGUGAGCCAAGCUACCCAUGGAUUUCCGACUGAGGGCUUCGGCCACCACGUUCGCCUUCCCUUGAUGAUACAAGAUGUCCAUAUCAUAAUCCUUAAGAAACUCCAACCAUCGCCGCGGCCUCAAAUUCAACUCUUUGUGCUUGAACAAAUAUUGGAGACUCUUGUGGUGUGAAAACACAUCUACAUGAACCCAAUAAAGAUAGUGUCGCCAUAUUUUCAAGGCGAACAAAACUGCUGCAAGCUCCAAAUCAUGUGUCGGAUAAUUCUUCUCGUGAUUCUUGAGUUGCCUGGAAGUAUAUGCUACGACCUUCCCGUGCUGCAUCAGAACACACCCUAAACCAACCUGGAGGCAUCAUAAUGAACUACAAAACCCUCUGUGCCUUCAGACCACUGGAACUUGGCUGAUUUCUGCGUCAAUUUGGUCAAAGGAGAGGCGAGGGUGGAGAAUCCCUCUACAAACCUCCGAUAAUACCCUGCUAACCCCGAAAAGCUAAAGAUCUCCAUCGGGGUCGUGGGCCUAGGCCAAUCUUUCACCGCUGCAAUCUUUUGGGGAUCCACCCGAAUCCCCUUACUGGAAACAACAUGACCCAGAAAAGCGACGAACUCCAACCUAAAUUCACAUUUGGAAAACUUGGCAUAUAAAUGGUGCUGAUGAAGAGUCUGCAAAACCGCUCUGAGGUGACUGGCAUGAUCCUCCCUGCUCCGCGAAUAUACGAGGGUGUCGUCAAUGAAAACAAUCACAAAUGAGUCUAAAAAUGACUUGAAGACCCGAUUCAUAAGAUCCAUAAAAGCUGUCGAGGCAUUGGUUAGCCCAAAAGACAUGACCAAGAAUUCAAAAUGGCCAUAACGCGUUCUGAAAGCGGUCUUAGGAAUAUCCUGCUCCUUGAUCUUUAAUUGAUGGUACCUGGACCGCAAGUCAUUUUUGGAGAAGAACCUUGCACCUUGCAAUUGAUCAAACAAAUCAUCUAUCCGAGGCAAAGGGUACUUAUUCUUGAUGAUGAAUUUAUUAAGCUGUCGAUAAUCGAUACCAUCCAAAGCGACCCAUCCUUCUUUCUAACAAACAGAACCGGAGCACCCCAUGGCGACACACUUGGCCGAAUAAACCCCUUCUCCAAUAGAUCCUUCNNNNNNNNNNNNNNNNNNNNNNNNNNNNNNNNNNNNNNNNNNNNNNNNNNNNNNNNNNNNNNNNNNNNNNNNNNNNNNNNNNNNNNNNNNNNNNNNNNNNNNNNNNNNNNNNNNNNAUUGCUCUUUUAACUCUCGCAACUCUGCUGGCGCCAUUCUGUACGGUGGAAUAGAUAUUUGCUGGGUAUCUGGCAAUACAUCAAUCCUGAAAUCAAUCUCCUUAUUUGGCGGGAUUCCUGGAAGUCAUCUGGAAAUACCUCAAGAAACUCAUUCGCAACUGGCACGGACUCGGGGGCAGGUACCUUUUGAGUAGUGUCCGCCACCCCGACAAAAUGAUAGAUACACCCCUUCCUGGUCAACUUCGAAGCCUUGAGGUAGGAAAUAAACCUACCCCUAGGCACAACGCCAUUUCCCUUCCAUCCAAUAAUCGGCUCAUUAGGGAACUCAAGUCUCAUGACCCUCGUCCGACAAUCAAGUUUGGCAAAGAACGAAUAGAGCCAAUCCAUCCCCAUGAUUACAUCAAAAUCCACCAUCCCAAGCUCGAUAAGGCCAGCCGUGGCAACAUGACCACCUACCAUAACAACACAAUUCCUAUAGAUCUGCGCGACUGUAAUAGAAUCACCAACUGGAGUCGAUACAGAGAAUGGCUCAAGAAGCUGCUCGGGUUAAAUCCCAAAACUCUAAGCAACAAAUGGAGUGACAUAGGACAAAGAAGACCCCGGAUCAAUAAGAGCAUAGCAAUAAAAGGUCUGAACAGAUAAGAUACCUGUGACAAUAUCUGGUGAAGCCUCAGCACUCUAACGACACUCAAUGCAUAAAACCUGCUGGGUCCGCCACUACCACGAGCUCCACCUAUGGCUGCACCAUUCCCUGCUGGGCUGGAAGGCACACUGAUGACUUAACAAAUAAUGAAAUGGAUGGCUGAGCAAGUCCCAUACCCGUACCCUGUCUGGUCGCACGACAGUCUCGCUUUAUGUGACCUCUCACCUCAUAAUUGUAACACACUGGAGCAUCCAAGUAACAGGCCUUUGCAUGAAAUCUCCCACACUUGGGACAUAUACCUCCCUGCUGCCGAGGUCUCAUCCCCGAAUGACUACCACAAUUGUAACACACUGGAGCAUGUUAGUAACAGGCCUCUAUAUGAAAUCUCCCACACUUGGGACAUAUACCUCCCUGCUGCCGAUGUCUCAUUCCUGAAUGACUAAACUGGUGGGACCUCCUGUUGUCUGAACCUGGCCCCGAAGGGCUACUCUGCUGGUAACAGUGCACGAAUGGCAGUGCACUAGCUGAGGACUUAGCAUAAGACUGAGAUGGUAAUAAUGACCCUCUCCUUGGAGCUAAUCUCCUUAAGUGACCCAUAGACCGGGCCCUGCUGCUACUCUCUCUGUCUGCCCGAAUCUUCAACUUCCUGACCUCUGUGGCCUGAGCAAAACCCAAGAUCUUCCCAUAGUUCAUCUCUGAAUGCAAAGUCGUUGUAGCAGCCUCAUUUACUACCAACGGACUGAGACCCUGAACGAAUCACCGAAUUCUAACCUCCGUAGUCAACACCAACUGAGGAGCAUACUUGGAAAACCUCACGAACUCUAUAUGAUACUCCCAAACACUCAUGCUACCCUACUUAAGAACCUCAAACUCGGUUGCACGGGCUGACAUGGUCUCGGCAGGCAAGAAGUGGUCCAUAAAGGCAUCUACGAAUUCAUCCCAUCUAGCUUGAGGUCUCCCCUCCUCACGAGAAUCCUCCCACAUCUCAAACUACGAACGCGCAGCUCCCUUCACCCUGUAUGAAGCCAAUUCUACCCCUUCUAUCUCUAUAGCCUUCGUAAUUCGAAGGGUCUUGUACAUCUCAUCAAGGAAUUCUUGCGGAUCGGCCUCUAGGUCUGUGCCUGGGAACUCUGGAGGAUUCAAUCGCAAAAACUGAUGAACUCUGGAGCUGGAGGAAUCUCCCUGUCCACUGGAGGACACAGUGGCAUCAUGAGAACUCUGGGCCUGGGCGGCCACUAACUGGGUCAACAUAUGAAUAUCUCCCCUAAGGUCUCCAUUAGAAAUCUCGGGAUCGGAAGCUGGAGCAACAUCAAGAUUAAGAGCAUUAACAGGAGGGAUAGUACCACCCUCGGCCGCUGCUGGAACAUGAUUGCUUGUAUCAGGAACGGAUGGAGCAGGCAAAUUCAGAACUGGGGAAUCACUCUCACCCACGGCAGUCAGCACAUGAUCCACAACUGCACUGGAAGUAGCGUUGGCCCCUGGGCCGAGUCUAGCUUUCUUCUUGGGUGCCAUUACUAAAAAUUUGAAAUAAAGCGCGAAUUAGACACAACAUCACUUCACCGCACGAACUUGGAAUAACAAAGAAGAGGGUAGUUUUUCCUAAUUGCCCGUGUAGCCCCCAAUUUAUAGAUAUGGUCGACAACACACCGAUAAGAAAGGGAUCUACUAGGCAUGGCUCCCAGACAUCCUAGGACUCCUUUAAAACCUUAAGCUCUGAUACCAAGUUUGUCACGCCCCAAAUACGAGGUGCAUGACCGGCACUCAACCGGGUAUCCCCAGUCGAGUGGACCUGGGUGCCUCUCCUAUUUCCCACGCGUUACCCCUCAUUAUUUAAUGAUAAUGAACCAAAAGAUGCCAAAUUUGCAAUUGAAAGAACACAUGAUUUUUCUUAUAUAAACACACAUUAUUAUUAACAGGGAACGUCUUUUACAAAAAAUACAUUAUGAUUAACAGGGAACGUGGUAAACAAGUUUACAGUGCCCAAGCCAUACACCUCUAUACAUAAGUUCUAGCCCAUAUACCACUAUCUACGGAGCCUUUAAGAUAAAGAUAAUACCAAACUUUCCGGCGACAAGGCCCCGACUAUACCUUUACAAAAGGACAAAAGAGUCCAAAAUACAACAACAUAGGUGGCAUGAGCCACACAAGGCCUCAGAAGGAAAGGGGCUCACCAACAAGAAUAUCGCUGAUAGAGAGGAGGAGGAGCUACGAACGAUGGAUUGGAGUGCCUGCCACGGAUCCACCUACAAUCAUAACACGAAUGUAGCGCCCUCGGCAAAAGGGACGUCAGUACAUUUGAAUUGUACUUGCAUGUAUGAACAAACUCUAUCCAGAGUAAAAUCAAACCAAUAAUGCAUAUACAAGUGUAAAGCUGAACAUCAAUAGUACAACCAUGGAACAACAACCAAGCAUUUCACAGCAAAUGAUACUUUUAUCAUAUACAAGUAUAGAAAUGAACAACAAUAGUACAAGUACAACCAUGGAGCAACAACCAAACAUGUAACAACAGAUGAUUCAAGUAGUCAAACAAAGGGGAAAUCAGUGCCCCACAGGUUACAAACUCUCUUAUCCUCUCCUUUUACAAUUCCACAUUUAUCAUUUCAUGAUUAAUAUUCAUAUCAAUAGUGAUAUUGGAUCACAUUUUCCACCCCUAUUGCCUCGUCCACCCUUAUUACCUCGGCCACCAUUAUCACCCAAACCCACACCUUAUCACACCGUGUUGUGUCGCACAACCCGACCUUGCCUGACAGUUUUCAAUUCACAACAAACAGCACAACAACAAUACAAGAAAUCAACUAUGGCACAUUGUUAAAAUAGAUCCACAACAACGAUAAUGAAAUCCCACAACUAGAAACAACAAUUUCCUCAUGUUCAUCAAAUUGGAACACAAUUUGGAUUAUCACAACAGUUGUUCACAACUAAUCACACACGUUGUUCCACAUUAUUUNNNNNNNNNNNNNNNNNNNNNNNNNNNNNNNNNNNNNNNNNNNNNNNNNNNNNNNNNNNNNCGAGUCUAGUGACAAUAUUUCCAUUUCCACUGUUCCACAUUGUUUCCAUUUCCACGGUUCCACAUUAUUUCCAUUUCAAAUUUCUUCCAAACUACAAGUUCCACAACUUUCACCACAAAGUGUUACCACACAAUUAUACAACAUAAAAGCUUCACAAUGAUUCCUACAAGAAUAUCAACUAUCAACAAUUUCACGACUAACACAGGGCGAUUUCACAAGAAUCACAGUUAGCCAUACAUACCUGGAGUUGAUUAUUCCCUAUUAAACCUCUAGUACAAUUCUCCAAGAUAUCAAGAAGUCAAUCUAGUUCAUGAGCAACACUUAGGUUUUUAGAAAUUUAAACUCAUAGUUACUACCAUAUUCCCUUUUUACAAGAUUUUAGAGUUUUGAAUACAUGCAUGAAGAUUUUAUGAAGAAAUUUCAAAGCAAGUGUAUGUGGUUCCCUUCCCAAGCCAAAUUUGGGGGAAAUGGGUUAGGGAUUUUACCUGAGAAAUCAAUAGAGAAGACAAUGCACCAAGGAUUUUCUAUGCUCCAAUUAUUUUGAAAGACUAGAUGAUAAAGAAUUCACUUUCUCUCUCAAGAACCCUCUCUCACUUUCUCUUAGUUUGACCAGAAGUGUGUUAAAAAUGAGGGAGAAGGCGCUUUAAUAAAAGAUGGGUCGGGUCUAAAUUAUAAAAAAAUACCAGGCAAGCUCGAUCUAUGACGCAAUCUGCGGUCGCAGAACAGACAUGCGGUCCGCAGAAUGGACCGUAGAAUUGGCUCAAGUUUCAAACCUCUUGGGUUGGGAAUACGGUGAAUAUGCAGUCCGCAUUCGAGUUCUGCGGUCACAGAAUGCACCGCAGAACUGACCCUCGAAUUUUCUCAGGGACAAUAUGCGAUCACUCUGUCGUCCGCAUAUUGAUUAUGCGAUUGCAGAUUUGACUGCAUUGUCAACAGCAAAAAUUGGUUGCUCUCUGAUUCACUCUACCGUAGGAAUGUGGUCCGCAUAGCUGAUCUACAACCACAUUCUGGACCGUAUUUUGACCAUUUUUUUUAAAAAAAUUUAAUUUCACAUUUUUAAGUUGAAAACAGUAAAAAGGAUCAGAUACAUGUAGGUAGACUCGACUCUAUGAGCUGCUAACAUCUGAGCACUCAUUUCACGGGGCCAGACAGGAGCAGAGCCUAGAAAGCCCUCGCAGACGGUCAUGAUGAUCCGUUCUAUUGAAGCCAAGGAUAAAGCAAAGGCAGUUGAGGUAAGGCUAGCAAUUCAAGCAGAAGAGAUAAAAGACAAGCCGGUGGUGGUAAUGGGGAAAGGACCAUUUCUUGAUGCAAAAGGCCAGAGCCAGCCAAGUUAGUGGUACCAGGGGCAUCAUCUGCGCCCGUGGUAAUUGUGAAAGGGGCAUACGUAGAACCGGUCAUCAUAAAGCUGGUAGUCCAAUUACCCAUGGCUAAUAGCAAAGCUGUGCCGUGGAAAUAUGAGAAGGUAGUAGUGACAUACAAAGGAAAGGAAAUUGAGGAAGAAAGUUGUGAGGCACUAGGAUUAACUCGGGCAGGACACUAUUUUGCUCCCAAAGAGCUAGGGAAAGCCAGGGCCACAAAAGACAAUGCAACACUAGUCUAGAAGGUUGUGACAGAAGAAGAGGCGGAGGAAUUUCUGAAAAAGAUGAAAGCACAGGAUUAUUCCAUUGUGGAACAAUUGAGAAAAACUUUGAUUAAGAUCUUAUUGUUAUCAUUACUGUUCCACUCGGAUGAACAUUGCAGGGCUUUGAUGAAGAUAUUAAAUGAAGCUCAUGUGCCCGACAAAAGUUCAGUCAACCAUCUGGAGACAAUUGCCAACAAGAUCAUUGAGAUGAACAGGAUAACAUUUUUUUAUGAUGAAUUGCCCAUGUAGGGCACAGAACACAACAAAGCUUUCUAUUUGACGGUCAAGUGUGAAGAUUCAAAAGUUACUCGAGUGUUGAUCGAUAACGAGUCUAGUGACAAUAUUUGUCCAUUGCUGACGCUAAACCAGUUGAAGAUUAAUGAUGAUAGGAUCCACAAAAAUAGUGUUUGUGUUCGAGGGUUCGACGGAGGAGGACCAGACACGGUGGGGAUAUUAUCCUUGAGUGACUAUUGGCCUAGUCGAGUUCACUAUGGAGUUUCAGGUGUUGAACGCUGCAGUAUCUUAUAAUCUGUUGUUGGGUAGCCCAUGGAUCCAUGUAUCCAAGGCAGUGCCUUCCACAUUGCACCAAAUGGUCAAGUUCGAGUGGGACAGACAAGAAAUCGUGUUACAUGAGGAAGAUCCCACAUGCGCUAUAAGUGACAACAUUGUGCUCUUUAUAGAAACUGAGGAUGAUAAGGGCCAUGAUUUUAUUAGGUCUUCGACACGAUUCUGGUGAUCCGAGUGCCAGAGGGUAAAAGCAUUCAACGUCCCAACGUAGCAGCUGCGACCGUCAUGGUGGUUUCAGAGAUGUUGGUUAAUAGGUUCGUACCAGGGAAAGGUCUGGAUGCUAAGCUUUAGGGUAUUGUUCAACUUGUUUCCUUGCCCAAGAAUUUGGACACCUUCGGGUUAGGGUUCAAGCCAACAGCAGCAGAUGUCAGAAGGGCUCGUAAGUUGAAAAAGAAGGCUUGGGUUCUUCCCAUACCGAUUCCACGCCUGUCCAGGUCCUUCGUCAGGCCGGGUGUCAAAAAGCAGCUAUUGACAAAGGUGUCAGGUCCACUGAUUGGUGCAGAGGGGAACUUGGAUAAAGUGUUCCAGAAGGUAUUUCCUGAGGUGAACAUGGUUGAGGCAGGGGAAGGGUCAAUCAAAGUAGAUAUCCAAUACAUCGGACCACGUGCUAAUAUUAACAAUUGAGAAGCUAUUCCUCUUCCAGUUUGGAGGGAGUCGUGGUAGUGGGUUUUGUUUUCCUUUUGUUCAACUGGAUUUCCACAGUUUGUAAUUCAGUUACUAUGUUGCGUCCGUUUGGAUGAGUUAAAACCCUAUUACCUUUACAUUUAAUGAAAUGCAAUUUUCUCGUUUCUGUAUUCCUAAUUUUGUUUUCGUUUUUCUUUCUUUCUUUUCUAUUCUGUACAGUUCUUUUUAUGUUGAAAUCAAUGACAUGACAUGUAUGAGGAAUCUUCGGCCCAAUUUUAUAAGCCAAUCUAACUCAGAAAUAAUAAUACAAGAAAUCGAGUGUGAUGACGAAGUGGAAUGUGAUGAUGAUGAGGCCUAUGAGAAAAUUAGUAAGAAAUUAUGUCAUUUUGAAGAAAAGCCCAAACCUAACCUAAAUGACACAAAAGCAGUUAAUCUAGAGGACCAAGAUAAUGGAGAAAAUUAGUAAGGAAUUAUGUCAUUUUGAAGAAAAGCCCAAACCUAACCUAAAUGACACAAAAGCAGUUAAUCUAGAGGACCAAGAUAAUGUGCGGGAAACCAAAGUAAAUGUUCAUCUGGAGCCACAACUCAAGGAGGAGAUAAUUAAAGAAUUGUUUGAAUACAAGGAUGUUUUUGCAUGGUCGUACGAUGAUAUGCCGGGUCUAAGCACCGAUUUAGUGGUUGCCCACUGAUUCGGCACUCCCUCCUGUCAAGCAGAAGUUGAGAAAGAUCAAGAUAGACAUAAGUGUGAAAAUCAAAGAAGAGAUUACCAAGCAGUUCGAUGCAAGGGUCAUUCGGGUUACACGUUAUCCCACUUGGUUAGCUAAUGUUGUGUCGGUGCCUAAGAAAUAUGGAAAGACUAGAGUGUCUGUCAAUUAUCGAGAUCUUAACAAGGCGAGUUCGAAAGACAACUUUCCAUUGCCAAACCUUCACAUACUGAUUGACAAUUGUGCCAAACAUGAUAUUGGUUCUUUUGUGGAUUGUUACGAGGGUUAUCAUCAGAUUCUAAUGGAUGAGGAAGAUGCAUAAAAGACGGCAUUCAUCAUGCCGUGGGGAACGUACUGCUAUCGGGGUCAUGCCAUUCAGUUUGAAAAAUUCUUAGGCAACCUAUAUGAGGGCCAUGACAACAAUAUUCCAUGAUAUAAUACAUAAGGAAAUUGAGGUGUACGUGGAUGAUGUGAUAGUGAAGUAUGGACAACAAUCUGACCAUGUCAGAUAUUUAUGGAUGAUGCGAUCGUGAAGUCUAGACAGCAAUUCGACCAUGCCAGGGAUUUGAGAAAGUUCUUUCAAAGGCUUCGCAGGUACAAUCUUAAGCUCAAUCCUGCAAAAUAUGCUUUCAGGGUGCCGUCUGGGAAGUUUUUGGGGUUCAUAGUCAGUUGUCAGAGUAUUGAGUUAGACCCGUCGAAGAUCAAAUCUAUUCAGGAAUUGCCGCCUCCAAGAAACAAACUGAGAUGAUGAGUUUAUUGGGAAGAUUGAAUUACAUCAGUAGGUUCAUUGCUCAGCUCAUGACAACUUGUGAGUCGAUUUUCAAAUUGUUAAAGAAAGACAAUGCAGUCAAAUGGGCUGAUGAAUGUCAAGAGGCUUUCGAUAAGAUAAAAGGGUAUUUGUCGAACCCACCCGUGUUGGUCCCGCCAGAACCAGGGAGGCCUUUGAUUCUAUAUCUGACGGUUUUGGAUAAUUCAUUCAAAUGUGUCCUGGGGCAACAUGAUGUUACAGGAAGAAAGGAGCAGGCUAUCUAUUAUCUCAGCAAGAAGUUCACAUCUUACGAGAUCAAGUGUACUCAUCUAGAGAGGACGUGUUGCGCCCUAACUUGGGUGGCACAGAAGUUGAAAUAUUAUUUGUCGUCCUACACAACUUACCUCAUAUCUCGCUUGGACCCAUUGAAGUAUGGUUUUCAUAAGGCUAUGCCACUAGGAGGCUUGCAAAGUGGCAGAUCCUGCUUACAGAGUUCGACAUUACCUAUGUGACACGAACUGCAAUGAAAGCACAGGCAUUAGCUGAUCAUUUUGAUGAAAAUUCAGUCAAUGAAGAUGAUGAACCUUUAAAAACUUAUUUCCUUGAUGAAGAGGUGAUGCACAUUGAAGGAUUGGAACAAGUUGAGAAGACAAUAUGGAAGCUCUUCUUUGAUGCGGCUGAAAAUAUGAAAGGCGUGGGAAUCGGAGUGGUACUCAUUUCUGAAACAGGUCAGCACUACCCUGUUACAGCCCAGCUUCAUUUCUAUUGCACGAACAACAUGGCAGAAUAUGAGGCGUGCAUCUUGGGACUAAUAUUAGUUGUAGAUAUGGGUGUCCGGGAAGUCUUGGUCAUGGGUGACUCGGACCUACUGGUACAUCAAAUUCAAGAAGAAUGGGAAAUGCGGGAUCUAAAGCGUAUACCAUACCGACAAUGUUUGCAUGAACUUUGUCAACGGUUCCAUUCUGUAGAGUUCAGGCACAUUCCAAGGAUUCAUAAUGAGAUUGCCGAUGCUUUGGCCACUCUGGCGUCAAUGUUACAUCAUCCGGACAAGGCUUAUGUGGACCCAUUACAGAUUCAGGUCCGUGAUCAGCAUGCCUAUUAUAAUAUGGUAGAAGAGGAACUCGACGACGAGCCAUGGUUUCAUGACAUCAUGGAAUAUAUCAGAAUGGGGUCAUACCUGGUACAGGCCACUGGUGAUCAGAAAAGAGCGAUUCUGCAAUUGGCAAGCGGGUUUUUCCUUAGUGGAGGAGUACUAUAUAAAAGAACCCCAGAUCUUGGGCUUUUGAGGUGCAUGGAUGCAAGGCAAGACACAUCUAUCAUGACUGAGGUACAUUCGGGAGUCUGUGGACCGCAUAUGAGCGGAUAUGUUUUGGCAAAGAAGAUCCUACAGGCAGGUUAUUAUUGGCUUACUAUGGAGUGGGAUUCUAUCGGUUUUGUGCGUAAAUGCCGUCAGUGCCAAGUGCAUGGAGAUUUGAUUCAUUCUCCCCCAUCAGAGCUACAUACGAUUCUGCUCCAUGGCCUUACGUCGCAUGGGGCAUGGAUGUUAUCGGGCCAAUCGAACCGGCAGUGAAAAAAGAUCCUACGGGCAGGUUACUAUUGGCUUACUAUGCAGCGGGAUUGUAUCAGUUUUGUGCGUAAAUGCCAUCAGUGCCAAGUGCAUGGGGAUUUGAUUCAUUUCCCACCAUCAAAGCUACAUACGAUGUCCGCACCAUGGCCUUUUGUCGCAUGGGACAUGGAUGUUAUUGGGCCAAUCGAACCGAUAGGGGCAAACGGGCACAUGUUCAUUUUGGUAGCUAUAGACUAUUUUACCAAGUGGAUACAGGCUAAGACUUUCAAGUCUAUAACCAAGAAAGCUGUGGUGGAUUUUGUGCAUGCGAAUAUUAUCUGUCGAUUUGGGAUACCGAAAGUGAUCAUUAUAGACAAUGGGGCAAACCUCAAUAGUCAUUUGCUGAAGGAAACAUGUGAGUAGUUCAAUAUUAUCUAUAGACAUUCUACUCCAUAUCGCCCUAAAGCAAAUGAUGUGGUUGAGGCAGCAGAUAAGAAUAUAAAGAAAAUAUUGCGGAAGAUGGUAAAAGGUUCGAUACAGUGGCAUGAAACGUUGCCUUUUGCUUUGUUGGGGUACCGCACCACCGUUUGUACUUCCGUGGGGGUGACUCCUUAUUCAUUGGUGUACGGCACCGAGGCAGUAAUACCUGAAAAGGUGGAAAUCCCGUCGUUGUGAAUCAUUGCGGAGGCUGAGAUUGAUGACGAUGGAUGGGUAAAAAGUCGCCUUGAGCAGUUAAGUUUGAUUGACGAAAAGAGAUUGGCAUCAGUGUGUGUACCAACGAAGAAUGGCAAGAACAUACAACAAGAAAGUGCGCUCGAGGAAAUUCGAAGUCAGACAGUUAGUACUGAGGCAAAUUUUGCCUCAUUGGGCCGAAGAAAAAGGAAAAUUUGCCCCAAAUUGGCAGGGGCCAUUUGUAGUAACCAGAGUCUUGUAUAGUGGUGCACUGUAUUUGACAGACGUAGAAGGAAAAUGUGUAGAAAUGGCCAUCAAUGUCAAUGCGAUCAAGAGAUAUUAUGUGUGAUUUCUUUACUUCUGAAUGUAUCUGUUUGUAUUUGGCAUAUUUUAAAGAUUGAAAUGACGAAGGAGUUUUGUUCUGCUAUCCAAACACUUUUAUCCCUUGUCUCCUUUGAGCCUUACUUAUUUUUCAUACCCCUCUUUCGGAAUCAACGGCACUAUCAAGAAACACAGGUGCCGAACAUAAAAGAAAGAAAAGAAGAGUAAAGAAGAAAGAAAAAAGAAAAUGAAAAGUAAAAGGAAAAAAAGAAGAGGAAGAAAAUUAAUGAAAAAGAGAAAGAAAAGAAAAGAAAAAGGGAAAGAAAAGAAAAAAAACGAAAAAAAAAGUGAAAGAAAAGAAGAGAAAAAGAAGAUGAAAAGAAAGAAAAAAAACACAACAAGAAAGGUAAUUAUGAUAGAAUGAACUACGUUUGACUUGAUCCCGAAAGGGUACGUAGGCAGCCUCUCCGAGGUCAGUCACACCAAAAUAAAAAUCCAAAGGUCCCCAAGCGAGAAACUGGGGCAGAAGUUUGUAGUUUGUUGUGAGAAAUUGCAUUCCGAACUUUGUAGUUUUAACCCAUUUUGAAAUUUUUUUGAGCCUUUUAUAUCUUUCUUUCUAACACAUCCAAAAGCCUACACUACAGUCCAAAGAAAGACCUUUUGGUCAGUUUUGAGAUAUGCCAAGUCGAGCAGGUAGCGGUAAUUCGUGGCAGUGGCAACACUCCGGUUCAAAAGAACAAAAGAUAAAAAUGAGAGAGUCUUAUUGGUGAAAUGCCUCAGGGGCACCGUAAGGCGACGGGAGCUGAGAGAAAAUAAAAUGAGAGAGUCUUAGUGGUGAAAACCUUCACGGGCACCUUAAGGCGAAAAUGAGAUUAGAAAUGGUAAACUAAGAAAGGUCUGUUGGUGAAACUGUUUUGAGGCAGUGUAGGAUAGAAAGGGGUAAGGUUUGGUUGAAGUAAUGAAGUGAUGGAAAUUCUAGGCAAUGAGGUAUGGUAACUGAAGGCUGUUUAGUUGGAUCGGUUGGGCCGAUUAGUCUGAAAUGCAUGUCAUGAUCAUUGGUGCCAGCUGUUCCGGUUAGAUAAGUUUGUUUUCUUUUUCCCUUUAACAGUUAUCUGGUUUUGGAUUCUUGUUAUCCUUAACUCAUAAAAUCUUUGUAUUUCAUUCUCUUUUGGGGGCUUAUUUGUAUACAAUGUUCUGAUGUCAGUUUUGUUUAAUUCAAAGGGGAAAGGAUUUCAAAGCCCAUUAUCAGUUUCCAAAAAUGGUAACGCAUAAUAUGGUCAGAGCAUGUCAACAACAAUGUGAUGUAAAGUGGAAUAGGGAAGUCACCGGAAGUUUCAUCGGCAAAAUAUUUGGGAAAUGUUGUAGGAAAUGUGAAGGUUUAGGCAAAAGGGCCGGAAAGUUGAAACAAAAGUAUGGGUACAAAAGCACUAAGGUUGCCAUAAAUUAGGGAACGCGAAAGUCGGUCGGAAAGUCAGGCAAUUUAGAGGAAGUCGGGCAAUACAAAGCAAAGCAAUGGAAGGACGGUGCAACAAGAAUGCGAUCAACUAAUCACCAUUUUUAAACUAACAAAAUUUUCAUUGAUUGAGACAGGGGCAGAAAAAUUGUUUGUCAAGAGGAAUUCUCAGUGAGGGAAAAGCCGUCAGGCUCCCGCCUGGAGAACAGAGGCGUACAGUUCAAGUUUCAGAAGUCAGGAGCCCGCCUGGAGAAUAGAGGUGUUAAAUUUUUAAGUAGUUGAAGUCAAGAGCCCGCCUAAAGAAUAGAGGUGUUAAAUUUUUAAGUAGUUGAAGUCAGAAGCCCGCAUGAGAAUAGAGGUGUUAAAUUUUUAAGUAGUUGAAGUCAGGAGCCCGCAUGGAGAAUUGAGGUGUUAAAGUUUUAAGUAGUUGAAGUCAGGAGCCCACCUGGAGAAUAGAGGUGUUAAGUUUUUAAGUAGUUGAAGUCAGGAGCCCGCCUAGAGAAUAGAGGUAUUACAGUCAACUUUCGAAGUCAAGAGCCCGCCUGGAGAACAGAGGUAUUACAGUCAAGUUUUGAAGUCAGGAGUCUACCUGGAGAACAGAGGUAUUACAGUCAAGUUUUGAAGUCAGGAGCCCGCCUGGAAAACAGAGGAGCCCACCUGAAGAACAGAGGAAUACAUUCAAGUUCAAGUUUAUUCAAGUUCAGCAAUUUGGAGGGAAGGAACAACAUCUCAGUGCACGAUUUGAAGUAACAACAUUGAGUUUCACCAAAGAAAACACAAGACAACAAGAGAGAAUACAAGACAAUAAGGAAGUACAAGAUGCAAGUUUGAAGAUUUUAGAUAGGACCUUUCUAAUUUAUAGUUCAUAGCUUAGGCUAGUUUCUUUUCAUCUUUGACGUGGUGUAAUAAGGAAGGUCAUCAAGCAGUAGCAGCACCAAGCAUAGUGAAAUCACAGCUCUUGAUAGUCCCAGCUACCAGACACUCUCGAACUACACCGACCUGAUUCCUGUUUAUCCCAGGAUAUGUAGGCAAGCUCUGUAGCAGGGUGCGGUCAAGUUUUUCGAAGAUGCUUCAUACGGAAUAUGUGAAUGGGCAAAAAUCCCCCAUUUUCGCUCACUUGUCUUUGCGCAAAAAUUCUUUGUGUUUUCAAGCAAAAAGGGACAGCUGUGAGCACGUGAUUUUUGCCCUAAGCAAAUUAUUCUCAAAGAUUCAUACAAAAUGAUUUUUCUUUAUUUUUACAAUUUUUGUGCAUUUUGGUAUCAUUUUCUGAUAAUUGUUGCAUUUUAUUUGUGCAUUUAAUUCAUAAAAUACGAAAAUGUGCAAUUUGCAUUUAGGAUUUAAUUUUAUUUCUUAUUAUUAAUUAGGGGUCAAUUUGUCAUAGAACAAGGCAUGAAAAAUCACAAAACAAUAGUUCAAUUUAGCAUUUAUAUCGUAUUAAUUGGAAAUUGCCACAAAAUAGUUUUAAAAGUAAUUUUAGGACAUUAAUUAGCUUGGUUUAAAGUUUUAUUUUUAUUUUUACAUCUUUAUAAACUUCAGAAAAUACAAUAUAAAUUAUAAAAUUAAAAAAGGGGUUUAACUGAAAAGUAAUUGAAAAUUUAAAAAAAAUAAGAAAUAAACAAUGAAAGAAGUUGCCCAAAAUUGGACUUUUGGCCCAAUUUAUCGACCCAACCCGGCUCAGAUGCCAGUCCGAAAUGAUGGUGUUUGGUGUCUUUUAAUCAUAGCCAUCAGAUCCUUCCAUCCAAUGACCCUGGUUCAAUCCGGCCUUUUACAUAAAACUGUCCAAAUCCCUUCAGAAAGUCAGCGACCAUAUCUCUCUUCCUCGUACUCCCUGUAUCUCCACCGGCGGAGCCGCCGCCAGUGAACAUCACCUUUUCCGUUCAGCCCCAAAUUAACGCCACCAACCCUCCUUGCUCUCCUCUCUCGUUCCCACCAUUGUCGUCCCUCGAAACUCACCGGAGCUCCUCGAAUCUUCGUCGGAAGAUUUUCCAACCACGACACCACCUGUCCAAAAUCCCACCAAAAUCACACCAUAGGACCACCUUGGCCUCUUCUACACAACGCCUAUAGCCUCUUGCCUCGAAUCUGGCCAGAAGUGCUUGAAUAUCCAAUUCAAUUUUUUCGGCCACAACCCUAAAGUGACCAAAGGACAUGCAAUUGAUACCAUAGGGUUCACGGGCUUCCCUCGUGAGUACUUGGUCAUCAAUAAAGCUCGAAUAUCACCGGAGAUGGCCGGAAGUGAAUUUUCGGUUAGCCAGAUUUUUGUAAAAGUUGUUUCAGUAUUAGUGAAUUACUUUUCUUUGUGUAGUUCUCUUAUUUUGUUGUUAUUAAUUUCCAGUUUAAUGUGUGUUUAUUUGUUGUCAAUUCUCUUCUAAAUUUUGUGUUUAACUGUUUUUUUGUUCAUAUAUUAGUUAGUCUGCCUUAAUUAGGAUAUUAACCGUCUUUCUAUCUAACUUUCAAUUUUAGUUUUUCUUUGAUUAGUUCGUUGGCAAUAACUCUUUGAUCCAUUAUGUGGUUUUAAUUCAUUAUAAGGCUUAAUCCUGAUUAAUUAGUAUUCGAUGGUAGUUAGUUUAUAUUGGUUAAUACUUUCGUGGGGAUAAUUAACAGACUUUGUUAAUCUAGGUUGGUAAUUUCUUCAGAAAUAAAAGGGUAAUUCCAGGGUAGUUUAGAAAAUGGUAGAGGAAACUAGGACAUUCUAGAAGGGGUUUAAUUGGGAAAUAAGAAAUAGAUAGUAUAACUUAGGUGGCAAGUUAAAAGUUGUAGGACCGAAUUGAAAAUAACAUAAGGACUAGGUUGCAAAGCCAAAAAUCUGAAAUGCCCUCCUCUAGGCCUAUAUAAAGGGCAUUCUCAUGCCUUGUAAAAGAAGUUUUGGAGCCUCAAAAAAUCCCCAAAUAGCAUUCUCUAGUUCUAGAUCUAGAUUAUAAUUUCAGCAUUCAAAAUUCAACAAAAAAAGAGGAAAAAAAACCAAAAUUUUUUUUUCACUGUUUCAUUGCUAUAUUGUCCAGUAGUGUAGUUUUAGUUCCUAUAAAAUCAAAAACAUAUGUAUUUCUUUAUUCAAGGUUCAGCAAGUUUAUUUGAAGGGUGUGUUUGAAGUUUGGGUUUGAUUUGAAAUCCAUUUAUUUGGUCAAGCUGUGUGUGGAUGAUUGUUGUUUUCUUCUGGGUUUUCAAACGAUUUCUGGGCUGAUUAAGCUGAAGCUAGUUGUGGUUGAUUGCUGCUUAUUGUUGUUUGUGCACUGCUGAGUAUUCUCCUUCUUUGUUCUUCAAUUUCCAGCUACAUAUCUAUACAUUUUCGGCUAUUUGAAAUGAAAUGAAGGGAAAAUAGAGGCUUCUAUGUCAUUUUGUGUUUAAUAGCUAACUGAAACCACGAUGGCUCAGUUAUUCGAUGACUUUGCUUGUGAUGAAUUUGAUCUGUCUCCCUGAUAUGAAAUGUUCGAAGAAAAAUGAGCUAUGUUGAUAUGAAAUGAGAAUUAGACAGGAGUAAACUUAGGCUGUGAGUUUGUACUUAUUUGAAUCUUAUUGAAUUGUGAAACUAUAGGUCUAUUUGGUACGUGCGGAAAAAAGCCAAAUAAGAUUGUUUCAGAAGUAGGUGGAUUAUUGUAACUAGAAAAAGGUUACUAAAUUGUUUUAAGUCCAUUUGAAUGGCAUGCUGUGCAUUUGUGCUUUGAGAUGCUUAUGAACUAGUUCUAACAUGCUAUUGGUAAUCACCCGUUCUUUGAAUGAAUUAACUCUAUUAAACUUAACAGUUUUGGUGGAUUGCUGCAUUUGCCAUUUGAAAAUCCAUGCUAGUUGAGGCAAAAGUAAUUUCGGAUUAGUAGAGUUUAGAUCAUUUGAAUGAAUUGAUAGCCAUUUCCUAGUUAGUUUAAUAUGUUUGUUCUUAAUAUGUCACCCCAAAAUA
rnacentral:lncRNA from 1 species